UUGGAACUCACUUUCAUACAUACACUUUGAGCUAUAAUUCCUUUUUUAUUCAUGGUCUUCCAAUUCAUGUACAUAAGGUUCAAAGGUCACUAAACAUUAUUUUUACAAUUACAUGGCUUCACUUUACAUCACUUUGUGUCAUUACAAAUAUAUUACAAAGAUUUCAUACACAAAAGAAUAAAAUUAAUUCCAAACUCUUCAAUAGUCUUCAUUCAUACUCCAUCUUUGACCAUGUGUGUUCAUGCUCCAUUACCAUGUACCAUGUUCCAAAGAAAAUAAUAAAAGUAAGUUAGAUAUUACAUUCAUUUUAAAAAAUUCAGCACUUACAUAACAAAAAUUCAACAUCAUUAGCAUUUCCAAAGUCAUUUUAAGUUCAUGUCAUUAAUCUCUAAAAUGCAACAUAUGCACAUACCUUCACAUCAUAUACAAAGUCAUUAAAAACAAGACAAAGUCAAUAAAAAUUCUGCAUGUUAUGCAUGUACCAUGAAUAAAGUCCAUGCUAUGUAUGAUUAUUAUUCCACUUCUAUACAAUAAGUCAAAACCAUUAAAUCAUGUGCAUUAAAAGAAAAAUUCAGCAUGCAUGUAACACAUUAUUUCAUUCAUGAACACCAAUCCAAAUGUAUCUAUGAGUCAUUCAUUCAUACCGUGUAAAUACCCAAACAUGUAUUCAAGUAGUGUCAUGUAAAUUCAUCCAAUUUUCUUCAUAUUCACUAAAAAUUCAGCAUAUACACAUACAUGUAAAUUCACAUACAUCCAUGCCUUAACCACCCUAACUACCUUAAACUUCCAUAAACUAACUUCUAACUACUUCGGGCAAUUGCCCAAAGUGCCCAAAACAGCCCCAACUAAUUUCUAACUAAUUUUCGACCUCUAAUCAUCCCUCACUUAGUUUUAUAUAAGCAGUCAUCAUUCACCAAUUAAAGAGAUUCUUCUCCACUUUUUGAUUCCACUCAUUCUUCACUUUCUCUCAAAUUUUCACUCUCCAUUCUCCAUUUUUCAACCUUUCCUCACUAGAGCUCAAAUCCAUGGUUGUUGAAGCUUCACAUUGAAGCUUCAAUAAACUUGAGCAUAAACCUUCACUACACUUGACACCAUAAUUUUUCAUGUCUCAGGCAUCGGAAAGUGGCAAAAAAAUCAACAACCACAAGAAAACAAAUGGAAGAAAAUAAAAAGGAUGAAAAAGGGAUGAAGAGGAAUUGAAGAACCGUUUACCGUAUUGAAUUUGGGUCGCCAUUGAAGAACCAUCGGAGGGUCUCCGAUCAGUAAGCCUCAAACUUUAUUUAUCAUUCUAUGAAUUCUUUGCUUGCUUGUGUCUUCCAUGAUUGCUUGCUUGUUUGAGUUAUCUUUGCAUGCUUGUUUAUGUAUUUGCCUUUCUUUUCAUCUUGUGUGGAUGAUUACCGCGAGAAUACAAACCUUGCCAUGAACACAAACCAUAGAAAAUUUAACAUCUUACCAAUACCAAAUCAAAAUCCGAUUAAAAAAUCAUAACCAUUAGAGAAAUCAUUCGUAAUCCAAAACAGUGAGAAAAAGAAUCCCUAAACACAACCGAAACAAGGCAAAAAGAUGAGAAACUUGGGCCAAGCAUUUUACCGAACACUUGGUGUGCGGUUGCAAAACAUCAAAUAUGUUAACCAAUUCACCAAGCGUAAAACCGAAAUACCAACACAUAAACCAAAGUUAAAUUGCACAUAGAAUUAAGCUAAGAAAAAAAAUGAUGCUGAGUCGAAACAAAAAUUGAGACGUGCACUGAUUCAAAAUUGAAUUGAAUCAAACUUACCGGAACCGAAACACAAACUGAGUUGAACAAAUUCGAACCAAAUUGCGAAAACAUAAUUGCAACCCAAAGCCAAACUUCGAAUUGAAACAAAACUCUGAAUCAGAACCAAUCCAAUGCUGAAUCGUGACUCGAAUUCGAACCAAGCUUUAACCGUAAUGUUGAGCCAAAACCGUGAGAGUUCCGAGCAAGUUAGUUCUGGUUUGGCGUUCAAAAAUUGCGUUUCAAAUAAGUGCUUGUGUGAAACGCGAUUCUGAACUUUUUUUGUCAUGUUGCGCGAUUCCGCCUUUGCUUCCCACUUGCGUUUUACGGUUUGGAGCUUUUUCAUGCAUACUGUCAUAAGCUUUACUCUUAUUCCUUAAACUCAUUUUGCGGUUGGUGCUGACUUUUCAACUUGAAAAAUUCAGCAAAGCAACCUCUUUUCUUUAAGGCUAAUGCUAAGAUAUGGCCUUGAGAUAAGUUAAUUAUUUAUUUAUAAAAAUAUUUUUUUGGAAUACGCGCAUUUCAUUUUUUGAAAUUUAAAACAUUGUUUUAUUCUAUAUAAAUUUUUUAAUUGUAGUAUCUUUAACUUAUGCCUUAAGGACACAAAUUAGCAAGACCAUUUCUUUAAGGUUAAUACUAACAUUUGCCUUUGGGACACAAGUUAAUGAUUUAUUUGUAGAAAUAUUCUCUUGAAAUACGUGCAUUUAAUUUUUUGAAACUUAAAAUAUUAUUUUAUUCCACAUAAAUUUUUUAAUUGUAGUAUCCUUAACUUGUGCCUUAAGGGCACAAAUUAGCGAGACAAUUUCUUUAAAGCUAAUGCUAACACGUGCCUUUGGGGCACAAGUUAAUGACUUAUUUGUAGAAAUAUUCUCUUAGAAUACGUGCAUUUAAUUUUUUGAAACUUAAAACAUUAUUUUAUUCUACAUAAAUUUUCUAAUUGUAGUAUCCUUAAUUUGUGUCUUAAAGACCCAAGUUAACGAGACCCUUUCUUUAAUUACUCUUAGUUGUUAACUUGACCCUUUCUUUAAUUACUCUUAGUUUUGUUUUCUAAAUUUUUAUGAUAAUGUAACUACACAUACACUUUACAACAUACACUACAUGUUAAUGCACUGCUAUAAUCUUUUUCCAUUAUACUUAUAUCAUUUUUUUCCUUUUUUUUUUGUUAUCAGUUAAUAAUGUCACAUGACACUAGCCUUGAUUAGAAAUUGACUUUAACUAUGAAAAUAAUUAUAUUCUUCCCCUUUUCUCUAUCAUUUUUGUUUUAUUAUUGUUUCAACUUACCACAUGUCAAGUAUUGAUUGGUCAUUGAAUUGAGUUCUAGAAAAUAAUCCAAACACUCAUAAAUCUUAUCAUGUUCUUAUUACUUGUUUGAAUAUUAAUUGAGUUUCUUUGUUUAAAAUAUAUUUCUAUAUCAGACCUCACUAAUUAAUUUUACAUCUAUGUUGCUUUAUUCCUAAUUUUCUAAGCAUCGAAACUUAAUUAAAUAUUUGGGUUAUUAAUUGAUUAAUCGUUUUAUAUUAGUUAGUUUUUAUUCAUAAAAUGACUAAUUAAUUAAUUAAUAUCCUCUGCAAGCCGAUUAAUUUGAUCUAAUACAAAUUUGAAUGUUACGAUAAUUAGAAGUUGACGUUUAUCUUCAACCUUAAUUUUCUUCUCUUGAUUUCAUGAUUGAACUUACUUCUUGAAGUGAUUGCUUGACAAGUUGACCUUAUAUCUCGCAUAAUCCCCAUUUGUCUUUAUCUGCUUAAUUGAUAAAAUUUAUUUAGUCAAUUAAUUAGAUUAAUGACUUUAUGACUAUUUAAUUACUCCUUUCAAAACAAUUUACAUGUUCCCUUAGCUUAUGGCUUAAAUUUGAUUUGUCUGAUUUCAUAGGUUUAUCAUUAUACAUAGUUCAACUAUUAUUUUAAUCCCACUGAUUAGUGUUGACAAAAGAUCACUUCAGUUAACCAAAUCCUUUGAAUUACACUGUAAUCCCCAAGCCUAUUUCAAGUUAUCAAAAAACCCUUGAUCACUUGAUAUGGCAAGUUCAUUACGCUCAAGCUAUUGUGGAUAUGAUGAAUCUCAGGAGCUCAAGGCCUUAAGGUUCAAACGCAAGAUCAAGACUUCAAGGUCAAUAUCAGUCAAGCAUAGCUAGCAAAGUGGGUUACUUCUCAAGUACUGCAUAUGUAUCAACACUUGUCAAAUCAAAGUUAGAAUUGUGUGGCAUGAGCCUUAAGUAAUAGAGAAGGAAUGGGAUUGGAGAAUUCCUACCCCCAUUCUGAAUAUCUUUGGGUAUGGGACGAAUGACCCAGUGCUCAUCAUAUUCACCUCUAUUCAUAGAAUUUAGCACAAUUCAAAUCAUACGAUUAGCAAGUCUUUCUUCACAAAGCAUUAGUUCAACAAACAAAGACUAAACCAAUAACUCAUUAAUCAUAAUUCAAAGUGUGUGGCACGAGCCUUAAGAAAUAGAGAAGGGAUGAGAUUGGAGUUUUCCUACACUCAUUCUGGAUAUCUUUGGGUGCGGGACGUUUGGCAUGUGGCUCAUCAUAUUCACCUUAUUCAUAGACUUUAGCACAAUUUGAAUUACAUGAUUGUCGAGUCUCCUUCUACAACAAAUGACACUACAUCAAUAGGACCAACACAAAGGAUCUCAUGUCAACAACUUGUUAAUUUUGAUUCGAGUUGCAUGUUAUGAGCCUUAAGAAACAAAGAAUGAUGAGAGUGAAGAAUUCUUAUCCUUAUCUAAAAUAUCCUUGGGUACGGGACGAAUGACCCAGUUGCUCAAGGUAUUCGCCUUUGUUCAUAGACUUUAGUGCAAUUUGAAUCAUACAAUUGACAAGUCUUCUUCUUCGAGCAAGCAUCAUAUCAUUCAACACUUUAAUAGUGAAACACCAUUGCACAUCAAUCAUUUCUUACUCAGUGAAUCAUUAAUCAUACUAUCUUUGACAUUCAGAUAUCCCUUGGAUCAAUUCCCUUGUAACCAAGUCUUUAAAAUCCUGAUCAAUCAACUUAAUCUUUGUUUGCCUUGUCAGUCCUCUCGUGCCUUGGCAAACCCCUUAAUCAUUGUUCGUCUUAUAAGACCUCUCGUGCUUAGACGAAGCUCUUUCCUUAUAAAUCCUCUCGUGUGUAGGCCAAUCAUUUCAUAAUCAUUGUUCGUCUUAUAAGACCUCUCGUGCUUAGACGAAGCUCUUGCCUUAUAAAUCCUCUUGUGUGUAGGGCCUUAUAAAUCCUCUCGUGUGCAGGCUAAUCAUUUCAUUAUCAUUGUUUGUCUUAUAAGACCUCUCGUGCUUAGACGAAGCUCCUGCCUUAUAAAUCCUCUCAUGUGUAGGCCAAUCAUUUCAUAAUCAUUGUUCGUCUUAUAAGACCUCUUGUGCCUAGACGAAACUCUUGCCUUAUAAAUCCUCUCGUGUAUAAGUCAAUCAUUUCAUAAUCAUUGUUCGUCUUAUAAUACCUCUUGUGCUUAGACGAAACUCUUGCCUUAUAAAUCCUCUCGUGUAUAAGUCAAUCAUUUCAUAAUCAUUGUUCGUCUUAUAAGACCUCUCGUGCUUAGACGAAACUUUUUCCUAAUAAAUCCUCUCGUGUAUAGGUCAAUCGUAUCUCACUUGUCCUUGUGGUUGAUUACCAUCAUUGGUUAGUACCACAUCCCUGCUUGUUAAGCAAUUUGCCUCAGAGAAAUCCUAUCGAAUCUCUCUUUGUUUUCAGCCGUAGCCGGCUGAACUACAAUUGCUCUGAUUUUCUCAUUGCACGAUGAGAAUACGUAGGCACGAGGGUUCGAAUCCUCCACGAGCAUACUUAUUUAUUACUCCUUAUGCCUUAGGGAACUUCAUCCAUUCAUCUCCAUGGAUCAUUAAUCACAACCUCCAUUCAUAUUCUACAUUCCUUCACUUCAUGUUAUAUACCCCAUUCUUUGAGCCGAAUACAAUAUACCUUUGAGUUCCAUCUUGUAUCUGUGUGAACCAAGAGGCGAUUUGUUUGUCUUAUAAGUCCUCUCAUUGCUUAGACGAACAUAUCCUUACUUACUUUGCAGUUGUAUACAUGCAAUCCUUCUUUUUCGGUUAUUCCAAUACAGUGUUGUAGGCCCUCACUUGUUGGUUCACACCAAUUUACUCUUGGGUUCAUAUCUCACCCCUUUUUUGGAGUUCAAACAACAUUAUUCUUUGGAUUAUGCCAUAUUGUCUAUCAUAAUUCUCUUCAUCUCCCACCACUAGUUCUUUGAACUACAUAGAUCUGAAUUCCUCAUUGCACUAUGAGGAUACGUAGGCAUGAAGGCCCUAAUCCUCACCGAGCACUCUAUCUAUUUCUUUUCUUUUUUCCCCAUCCUUUUGCGAGUAAUCUUUAGAUAUAGCACCUAUUCGAGCGAUACCAAUCAAAACGGUUCCCAUGGAGUACCAUGGAUGUUUGGGGUGCUAAUACCUUCCCCUUGCAUAACCGACUUCCUUGCCCAACAUAUCUAUUUUCCCCGGGUUUUAUCGAUGUUUUCCCUUUCCUUCUGAAAUAAAUAAAGUUCGAUGGCGACUCUAUUGCAUAUUCGAGCGUGCGAUACGUUCAGGUAUAUUUCCGUUAGCUUUAGUAGGCAUGAGGGCCAUAAUCCUCACCGGGCACUUUAUCUAUUUCUUUCUUUUUCCCUCCAUUAUUUUGUGAGUAACCUUUAGAUAUAACACAUAUUCGAGCUCGAACAAUCAAAACGACUCUCAUGGAGUGCCAUGGAUGUUUGGGGUGCUAAUACAUUCCCCUUGCAUAACCGACUUCCUUACCUGCAUAUCUCUUUCCCCGAGUUUCAUCGAUAUUUUCCCUUUCCUCCGGGAAUAAAUAAAGUUCGAUGACGACUCUGUUGUUUGUUCAAGUGUGCGAUGCGUUCGGGUAUACUUCCGCUAGCUUCAACACCUAUAAUUUCAAAUAAUAAUAGUUGUUAAAAAAUAACAUCAUUAGUAAUUAUAACAUACAAUAAAUUACGAAUGAGGAAUAUAAAAUUCUUACUUUUUAAUUUUUGCAUAUGCCUUCUUGAUGAUCGUUACGAAUAACAUGCACAUCAUCUCUAUAAACUUCUUCAUAUGAAUUAGACACGUGUGUUGCAUAAGAAGAAGUGGAAGCAAUAUCAAAACUUUCAUCAUCACUAGGAGAAGUAUGUUUUCCUUUGAGAAUAAUUGACCAUAUCCUCGAAAAGUCCGUAGGAUUUGUCACAUAAAAACUUGUUUUGCUUGAGUAGCUACGAUGUAUGAUUCGGUGUUAUAAGCUACCUUGCCAAGAUCAAUCCAUGUGAAUCAUAACUCAUAAAUUUGUACACCAUUGUUAUUGGAAACCCACUUGUAUUUAAAUAAAGGUACUUUGAAAAUAACAUAAUCAAUCUUCAAAAUCUCCUCAAUGAAACCAUAGAAUGCGGAAGUUGCCAAAAUUGGAUUCUUAUCUUUCAAACUAGAGAAAUACAUGGAUUCGGCCUCAACCAUAACCCCACUAUUUUGCAUUGUACUACAAACAUUUCUUGAUUUGAAUGCGACACUUUGAGGGUUUCUUCAUUGAAACUUGCUAGAUACUCUUUGAGCGAUUCCGAGUAUCCUUGUCGAAUAUUAAAUAAAUUGGUAGUCGACACUUUCCUAGGUUUACUUGCUAAAAAAUGUGUUACCGUUUUCUUAGUUAAAUCCUGGUAAUUGACUGAGCAUCCGAGUAAACUCAUGAACCAUCGCAGAGCACCCUCUUUAAAGGUCCCGACCAUAAGCUUACAUUUGAGUGAGUCAAAAGCCACUACUAUUACCAUUUGGUUAUUGAUGGCAAUAAUAUGCUCAUGUGGAUCAGUUUUACCAUUGAAAGAUACUAGCGAUAGUGACUUGAAGUUCUCUGGGACUUGAUCAUCCCAACUAGCUUCAGAUAAAGGUUGAGAAUUUAGAGGCUCCUCCUCUGCAUACCCUUUCUAUAGACGUUGUGUUUGCAAAACUUUGACACUAUCUUGCAAGGCUUCAUUUUUCUGACGAAGUACUUCCACCAUCACGAGCAAUUGAGUGAUAUCUGGCGGUAGAGGUGGAUCGCUUCGGCUAAGAGAUGAUCCUGACAUCGUCCAGCUGAAGUAUUAACACUUUUGAUGAUGGUUUUGUGUGGCUUGAGCAAGUUUACCGAGGCCCCACAGUGGGUGCCAAAUGUUCUUGCUUAAAACACUAAAAGGUUUACUUCCUUAUUUUCAAUCAAGAAGAGCCUAAAAUGAUUGGUUGGAGUGUCUGUUAUAUAUUUCUUAUCUCAUUUUUGCAUGUUUGUUACCCUCUAAGCAUUCUCCUAUUUACAUGUCUCAACCUCCUUCUGUCUUCCCCCAUUUUUUACUCUUUAUAUUCCUCAUAAAUACAUCUGCCAAUAACGUUGGCGCCCCUAUACUUGCUAUAUAACAUUUGUCUCUUCAAUAAUUAUAACUCCCUUGGUUUAAUGUAUCAUUUCAUAACUAUUUCAUACGAUCCUUCAAAUGUAAUUGUAACCUUGUCAUCAAAUCUAACCAGUAUGAACUAGAUCAUUCCCAACUUACAUGAGAUCGGCUCCGUCAUACUUAUUUUGAUACCUUAACCAGACUCUGAUUAGUAGAUGACAACACAGUAUCCGACCUGUUAGCCUCAUCAUACUCACUUAUCACCAACUUGACUUCAGAGAACUCAUGUAAACAAAUAGGCUUCAUCGAUCUUAUACCUCAAUUUUUCGGGAUGUACAAGUUUUAUUGUCGACCUUUCCCUCGACCCAUGCUUAUGGUAUUCCUUCCUGGGCCCAGAUCCUUCAUGCCUAGAUUGUGUCUUUCCUUAGCAUCCCAGGAUCUUUUCUCCUUAUUUCUUUCCUCCCCAUUGAUAUAACCUUCUUCUUUGUUCAUGACUCCCUCCAUGCUAGUGGCCGACUUUUGCAUCAAUGAGUCAUUGAAAUGGCCGGCCUUCAUGCCGUUUUGACAGGCCUUAUACAAACAUCUUUUGAUUUGGAUGAAAGACUUUUAUAGUCUCUUCAUUAAAACACGCCAUAUUUUCUCGGAGGGACUCAGAGGGUUCCUGGAAGACGUUGAAGAAGCUGGUUGUAGUCAUCUUUCUAUGUUUGCUGGCGGAGAAAUGUUGCACCAUCUUCAUGGUUAGAUCUUGGUAACCGGUAAUUGAUAAUCCAUGAAGACUCAUAUACCAGCGCAAUGCCACAUCUUUGAAUCUUCCCACCAUAAGAUUGCAUUUUAAGGAGUCAAAAGCCCCAACUAUUGCCAUUUUAUUGUUAAUUGAUAUUAUGUGCUCCUGAGGAUCACUUUUUCCAUCGAACGACGACAAAGAUAGUAGUUUGAAGUUUUCUGGGACUUGAUCGCCCAAAAUUAUCCCUGUGAGAGGUUGAGGAUCAAGGAGCUCCUCCCCUCUUAAUCUUCCUUAAUGUUUUGUGACUGCUGCGUUGUAUGGAAACUUUCCUGUAGAGAUUCGUUUAGCUUACAAUGAUUCUCCAUAAUUGUAAGGAGUUGUGUCAUGUCUGGUGGGGUGAGAGGUUCGCUCCUGCUAGGAGAUGAACCAGACAUUCUAUUACUCUGGUGAAAAUGUAUUAUUUUAUAAGGCUUGGGAAAGUCUUACCAAGGUCCCAUGGUGGGCGCCAAAUGUUCCUGAUAAACACAAUUCGGUUAAUCUCUCUGAGGCAAGUCAGGUGAGAUCACAAUCGUCUUGUCUGUAGGGGUAUUAGUUGUCUGUCUUUUCUUCCUCGUUAGGAAGCCCCUUUUAUACUUGUCAUGCCACCAAGGACCAUUUAAGGAAUGUCCCUUCAGAUCCCAUGUUUAAGUUAUCUUUGAUAACGUCCUCCGUCCUCUCUAACUCUUCUGUAACGUCUCGUCCAUCAUUUUCUGUAACCCCAUAAUAAUCACAGAGUUAUCUUGUAAUCAUCAUAGGUACUGUUCAUGUUGUCUUCUAACACCUUUCAAGAAAUCGGAUCUGACCUGAUCGUGUCGUCUACCAAUAUUCUUAUGGGACUGUGACCGACUUACUUAUGCCACAUAACUAUACUCCCUUUGUCCGAGAUCCAACUUGCUCAUACUUAUGUAGUUCGACAUAUUUGUUCCUCUCUACUCGGCCUCAACAACUCUAUCUUAGAAAUUUUAAAAUAUCCAAAUAACAGUUUUGUAAUAAUUUUCACAAUAAAUCUCAACAUUUGUUUAAAAUAUCUUUUAAAAAAAUAGGGAAAACACACUAACCGGUAGUUACCAGAAGUAAAAGUAGCGUUUCACCGUGGUGAAAAAAUCUUCCAUGACCUACCUAUAAACUUGUGUAGUACUAGUACUUGGGGUACUUACGACAUACAACAACGUCAUUACAUUGCUCGCGAGGUUAACUUUAAGGUUAUUUCAAUUCCCCAGAUACUAUUCAAUUUCUCUCUAAACUCUUUCAUUUUUCCGGUAACCAUGGCCACCACCGACCUAAUCCAGAACGGAACUUUACAAUUUCAACCACCAGUCGAACCAAUUUCCGAUGCCGUCAACACUUUGACGACUGACGAAACGGAUUCCGAAGAGAAGAAAUGGCCCGGUUGGCCUGGUCACUGUGUUUUCCGGCUGGUUGUGCCGGUCCUUAAAGUCGGGAUCAUAAUCGGUCGCAAAGGGGAGCUUAUCAAGAAGACUUGCGAAGAGACUCGUGCUCGGAUUCGUGUUCUUGAUGCUCCACUUGGUACUCCUGAUCGAAUUGUGAGUUUCCCUUUUCAUUACAAUUUUUUAGGGUUUUAAAGUUCACUUCAUAUUAUGCUUCACCCGUAGGGACACAAAAUGUUGCUGAAUUUAGUUUGUAUUAUAUAUAGCUUGCACCUUUUGUUGUAGCUAGUAAAUCGCCAAAGUGAAUAUUUAGUUUAGUUUCAUGAGGAUAUUACUAUUAUUUGGGUAUCUUGUCUGAUCAAAUUGUUAAUCUUGCCUUCCAUUACUCUCUUGUUAGGGUUUUAUUUCCCCCUUUGCUUUGUCAAGACCACUUCAUGUACAUGUAAGGUACACUAAUUGAUAACUCUACCGGUGCGGCCCCGGUCAGAGUCGCAAGUAUGACUGAGUCUGAGUCGUAUUACUGCAUUCUUUUUGCAGUGGUUUUGGUCUGCUCCAUAUUUAAGACCCAUAGAGACCAUUAAAGAAGAUUGUCUCCUUUUGAUAGGUCGUAAUGGUGUCUUAAUUGCCAGAUUCUCAGCCAUGUCCCUAAGUCGCUCAUACAUGCAAUUUCCCUUGCUCCUUAAUUUGAAUACCCCCUUCAUGUUGGUUCUGGGCUGGCCUGAUCGACUUGGCCUGUUAGUUUGCCUAGCUCGGCCAUGCCUUGUUGGAUAGGUUCGAAAUUGGGGCAAGUUCUUCCGAGUUCGGGUUUAGACCCGGCCCAAACUACCGGAUUGUACAUAGUCCCUCAAGCAUGAGGCUUGUAACUAUGAGAUGCAUUGUGGGCAAAUACCAGAUUGUAUAUAGUCCCUCAAACAUGAGAUGCUUUGCGGGGAGAAGACCGAAUUAUACGCAGUCCUUCAAGCAUGAGAUAUGUAAGAGCGAAAUGCUUUUGGUGGGAGAUCAGGUGAAAGACUGGAAUGCCUCAGGCCUCCUAAUUUGAUUAUUCUUGCCUUGUAAUUUUGGGCUGGAAGAAUAGACUUGGCUUGUUAACUUAAAACCAUCCGGCUUCCGUUUCUAAGGCUAGCUAAGGUUCAGGGGGGCUACAACCCCGACCCAAAAGAGAUCGGAUAUGUACCCUUCACAUUUAGCUUCACCUAAUGGUUUCAUUUUCUCAUCUUACUUUUAUUUAAUGCUUAUAUUAGCGACAGUGAUGUAAUUUGAUUUUCAAUUUGCUUUCAUUUUAACUUUGUUUUUAUACUAGUGGAGUUUCUUUGUAGGAUUUAUAUGACUUGACAAAAAAAUGUUGCUGAAUUUCGUACGUAAUAUAUGUACAACUUGCACCUUUCAUUGUAGUUAGGAAAUUUCCAAAGUAAAUAUAUAGUUUAGUUACUUGAGGAUAAUACUUUUAUUUGUGUAUCUUGUCCAAUUUAGUUUUUAAAAUGGUUUAAAUUUUGAUUUUAGGUGCUUAUUUCGGGGAAGGAAGAUUUGGAGGCACCUCUUUCACCUGCAAUGGAUGCUGUAAUAAAGGUUUUUAAACGUGUAUCCGGAUUAAGUGAAACUGAUGACAAUAAUACAACAUCAGGAGUUGCAGGGGCUGCAUUUUGUUCCAUCCGUUUAUUGGUGGCCUCAACACAAGCUAUCAAUUUGAUUGGAAAGCAGGGUUCGUCGAUUAAAACUAUACAAGAAAAUACCGGUGCUUCUGUUAGAGUUUUGGCUGGAGGUAUGCUUGAUGUCAUUAUUCCCUUUAUUUCUUGAUAGCAGCUAUUGACUCUGCGUGUUUUUUAUUCUUAUUGACUAAUGUUUUUUAACGUGUUCAGAAAUAUAUCUUUAGCCGCUAGUGUUUAGUUUAACUGGAUUUCUAUUAAAUACGCUUGAUAUGAUUUUUGUCUUCCCAUUGCUUUACCUAGUAUGUAGAGGCCGAGUUCUUAGGUGUGUUGAUGUUUUGCCUCAGCUACAUGCAACUUUGAGUGGCUAUUUUUGAACAUUUGUGAUGAUAGUUGUGUAAGAGAAAAUGCCGGCCAUUAUGGUUUGACGUGUUUAUCAUACUAUACUUUUCAUUAUACUCUAUCUUUCUCUUAAUUAUGUUGUGUUACCAAUUGCCUCUCUUUUGAGCCUAAUUUGUUUGUGGACUUCAAUUUGUCUUGGAUCAAUAAAUCAGGCAAAACUCUUCCAAAAUAAACUGAUUUCUACAACGAGUUUAAGUGACAAUGUGUCUCCCCUAGAUUUAUUUUAAAGUGCAACAUGAUCUUUCUCCUUAAAAUUGGAAAUUCAAGGGUCAAUUCAUCAUUGCUCAUAUUAACGACAAACUCACUAUAAAAAAGCUUUUUCCUAAUAGUUUUGUCUUUGUUUUUUAUUUUCCUGCAGAGAGUGUGUUUUCAUUUUAUUUUAUGUUAAUAUUGAGUAGUUAUAUGAGACAAGAUAAGAUUAGGCAUGCAAUCAUUACAGAGAAAAUUAGUGCAGUUCUAUCUUUGUAGGAAAAACGGGAGAGUAUUAUUGUCUUAGGUGGUUUGGGAAUGAUUGGAAAAGACCCAUAGAAAAGUUUGUUAAGAUCGGGAUCUUGCAUAAGAUUGGGAGGGAAUAACAAGAUUGUAAAAUAUAAAAUCGUAGCUAAGAUCGAAAGGUCCUACUAAAAUGAAAAUAUAAUGUUAUAUGUUUAAAGUAUUUUUACAUGAUAUAUUUUAGAGGUAGAGGGAGAUCAAGAGAAACUAUAGGUCAAACCAUAGAAUGAGAUAUAGAGGUAAACGAUUUGUCUUUGAAUCAAUACAGAAAAGGCCAUUAUGGUGUUGCUUAAUCCACAUUGGCUAGAUUGUUUAUUUGUACUUCAUUUAAUUUUUGGGUUCAAUGAUUGAAGUUCUGAUGAAAAACUCGUGUCCCUGACAGAGGAGCUUCCAUCGUAUGUCGGUGCCGAUGAGAGGGUUGUGGAACUGCAGGGUGAAACUUUAAAGGUCCUUAAAGCUCUGGAAGCAGUAGUUGGGCACCUGAGGAAGUUUUUGGUUGAUCAUAGUGUUCUUCCCCUAUUCGAGAAAACGGUAAGUUUGAUAAUUAACCACUUUUUAUUUAAGUGUAAAAGCCAUCCUUUCUGAUUUUACUGUAUAUGUUCUUGACACUAAGAUAUGCAAAUCCUUUGUUUUUUGUUCAAGUCCAAUGCAACAAUCUCACAAGACCGCCAGAUAGAUGCCUGGGCAGAGAAACCAUCACUGCGUAGUGCUUCACAACCUAGCACUGUUGUUGAUAUUCCUCCUUCAACAAAAAGGGAUUAUUUCUUUGCUGACCGUGAAAGUCAACUGGAUUCAUUGCUCUCUUCCUCGACAAUGUCAUAUGGACAAGAUUCUUCAAUUUCUGGUCUUCGUUCUUCGGCAUUUAAUCGUGCCAGUGCUUCCAUUGUUACUACAGUAAGCAUUUUUAUACUUUUACCAACUGUUUAAAAAUAGUCAUGUAUUUGUGACAAAUAUUGUUGUACUUUUACCGAACUGUUCAAAAAAUAAUCAUGUAUUAUAAUUAUAUACCGAGUGUUUAUGCAAGGCAUUUUAUUUGUUUUACUUCGUGUCAUCCAAAUUUUAUACCCCGUGAUUCGUUUUGAUUUAUUAUUCCCCCCAUCAGGUAAUACAAACAAUGCAAAUACCACUUUCCUAUGCAGAGGACAUAAUUGGUGUUCAUGGGACUAAUAUUGAUUACAUCCGCCGUACUAGUGGUGCCAUAUUGACUGUGCAAGAGAGCAGAGUGCCAGAUGAAAUCAUUGUGGAAAUAAAAGGCACCUCCUCUGAAGUUCAAACAGCACAACAAUUGAUUCAGGUAGAAACUUGGGCAUAUGAAAAAGUUACAUUUUUUCUGUUGCUUUUCUGUUUACGAGUCGAUGUUCGAAAAAAUAGAUUAUCAAGUCAUUUUUGCUGAUGGAAAUGUGUUUCUCUGUUACAGGAAGUCAUAGCUAAUCACAACGAAACUAUGGCUAGUAGUUAUGGCAGGUUAGAUUCAGGACUGAGGUCUUCUUACUCCCACUUGAACAACUCUUCAUAUCCCUCAUCUUCGUUGCCAUCGCAAUCCUACAAUGGAUAUGGAUCUUCUGGUCUAGGGGACUAUAGUACUUUCAGACUUUAAACUGGUCUUAAACAAGGAAACAGUCUUGAGCCAAGUUGUCCCAGUUGGGUCUGAUUGGAGAGAAUUAAUGCUGGAAUGAAUUCUGUAUCAACAAAAAGCAUUUUUUUAUUGUAUCUGAUAUGUCAUCAUUUGAUGGUGUAGUUUUUAAAUGUGGUCAAUAGGUACAAUGCAAUAGAAAAUGUAAUGAAAUAUUAAGUUAUUAACCAUUUUUCUGGAUGUUCAGUUUGGUAGUGUACAUGUGCAUGGGUUUAAUGCUUAACCAUAAGACCCAUGGUGGUUUUGAAACUUGUAUUUUAUAUGUUUUGAAGUUUGCACAGCCAACUACUAUUUUAUAUCUAUGCUUAAAUUUCGACUGAGUCUGUUUAUUUUAUCGUCCAACUUUUUUCCUUCAAUGAUUAAAAGAAUGAUAAUACACUGGAGAUGAUCAAAGCACCAGGAGUGAUAGACAACUUUGAAAAGAACAAACAAAAAGAAAGACAAAAAUCUAAAAACAAUCAACCCACCUUGAUCUUAGAAGAGCAAUUUCAAGAAAAAAGAAUGGAUCUAUUUGCCACUUUGAAAGAACAAUCAUCAAAUAAAAAGAAUAACAAAAAUCUAAAAACAAUCAACCCACCCUAAUCUUAGAAGAGCAAUUUCAUGGAAUAGAAUGAGAAAUACAUGAUCUUAGAAGAGCAAUUUUACAUAAAAAGAAUGAAUAAAUUAAUCUUAUUCAUUGGUUCAUCUUGUUAAAAAAGAUAAUCAUUUUGCCAUUUUUAUAGAGUUCAUACUAUACGACUUAAAUCAAAGUCAAGUCCAAAGACAUUAUUCUUAUCCCCUAGAAAUCUAAACAACAUACAAGACUCCCUUGACAACAACACCUAAAAUUUCUACCACAACACUCUAGUUAGACAUGACAAAAUAGGUCCUAUCUAUUGGAUAUGUCCGUUUUACCUACAUUUUUUUUAAACGGAUCAAAGUUUUAGUCUCACAGUUUCUAAUAUGUGUGUUCCGGCUCACUCUAUUUUUACGCAGAUGUGUACGUUAAUAUAAAUUUUUGCAAUCUUUUGAUUAAAAAAUUUCAUUUUCUGGUGGGGUGGGUCAAAGUUUUAAACUCGCACCCACAAAAUGCUCGCCCUACCUGCCCCUUAUUUUUGUUGGCUUUUGCAAAAUAGAUAUGCAUGAUUGUUACCCCUAAUUACAUUCAUCACCUCAUAGAUAGGGCUCGGGCUUUAUAGGGCCUGGUCAAAAAAAAUCGCUAUCUUAAUAUGGAGGAAUUAACCUGCCACCCCCACAUGUUUUCAUAAUUUCCAAACCGUCUAUGAAAAAAUUUGAGUCAAAAGUACGAACGAAAUUUCCGGUACAAAUUUUUUAUGUAUUUUAUCAUAAAUUUCAAAAAGUAUUGAAAUUUAUCGAAAAUUUUAAAAUUUUCGAUAAUAUAAUUUUUUUUUGAAAUGGUGUACAAUUUUUUUUUGAAAUUUUCAGAUAUUUUUUUUUAAAAAUUCCGGUAUUUUCUAUCGAAAAUUUUAGAAAAAUUUAAUAUUUUCUCAAAAUUUCUGAUAAACACAAUAGAAAAUUCCUAAAAAAAAUUAAUAAAGACAUAAAAUGUAAUAGUAGUCACAAUAUGGGGGUGUUAAGUUUAACUAUGAGAGUGACCGGUUAAUUCCUCUUUAAUAUGAGAUCAAACUAUAUAUCUCGAGUCUAGUUCUAUACGAAUUGCACGCUACCCCAUUUCUUUCUUAUUUUUUUAUGAAAAAAUAAAAUAAAAAUCUCAUAAUAUUCAUUAUAAAUACAAAGUAUAUUAUUUUUUUAAAAAAAUUAAGUCCUAUAUUAUUUAAAAAAAUAAAUACUAUAGCAUGUUUUUAAAUAAAAUACAAAUAUAAAAUUGUUUAAAAUAAUACACAAGUAUUUAACAAAUAACACAAAUUAAUAAAUAUGAAGUGAAAUAUGAAAUAAUUAAAUGUUGAUUUAAUUAUAUUAAUGUAUAAAAUUAACAUAGAACAAUUGAAUAGAAUUGAAAAGGUAAAACUAAAUGUUUUUGAGUGAGAUAAUAUAACUAUUAAUAUAAUUUUUAAAAUAUAAUUAUGAGGGUGAAAUGGGUUACCUGUGGUCAUAUAUGCUAGUCUUAUUGGAUAGUAGAGUUCAUUAGGUUGGGAUAAAAGAGUCUUUACAAAUUUAAGCUAUACUUUUUAGGUCUAAGAUCUAUGUUUUAGUGUGUUUGGCGAAACAAUCCAUAUAAACUAAUCUAUUUUGACGAAUUAAUUCACAAGGAAAAAAACAUGUUUAGUUGACUCCAAUUGAUUAUGACAAAAAAAUACAUGAAAUGUAAUCAUGGUUAAUAAUCACCUCACGCUUAAUAAUAUUUUCUCCUGUCCUAUCUUAAAAGAGUUGCUAAGAGAAAAGGAACACCUUAUAAGGGACCCAACUCUUCUAAAUCAGAUGUAACAACUGAUUAACUUUAUUAGGAGUGGCAUAUUCCUAUGGAAAUUAUCCAAAAAUGUCAGAUAUGUCAACUUAACAUAAAAUAAUUCACAAGAAUCUUGUCCUAAUUCCAAGUAUCCACCUCCCGGGAAAGAGAAAUUGAUUCCACAAAAAGGAGAUAGCUCUAGUCAGAUCAGACUCUUAUACAAAAAGACUCAUUCUCCACCUAAAACCCCAAACUCAUGAGUUAUCUUCCAAUCCCGGUAGAGGCGUAAAGUUUGACUUUAUCUCGACCAUGGGAUUCUCAUCAUAGUCAUUUCUUUUAUGUGUCGGCAAUAUCUUUUGACAUGGACAACUCUUAACUCAAAGUAUGGAAGGGGACACGAGAUAACUCUUCCGUGUGGGGGAUCAAGAGAUGUCGGAUACUAUUUUUGCGUUAGUUGGUAAGGGAGGUCUAAACCGCACAUUUACUAAAGAUGAUCCCUCCUUAGGUUUGGGAGUGCUUCCUUUUGAAUAGGAUAAGAGGGGAUGCAUCAAGUACGAUGAGUGUGUCAUCCCUCUCCAUGAAUGCUUAUUCUCUGAUAGGUUUAUGUAUCCCCUUCAAUGAAUUUGAGGCUGACGUUCUAAAUCAUCUAGUAAUUUCUCUUUCACAACUACACCUAGCGAGUUGGACUUAUAUCAAAGUCUUCUCGUACUAAUACAAAUACAAGAAAGGUGUGUCGGCUCUGACACUCUUCUUCCACCUCUUUAAAGCCCAAUAAAGUUCUUUUGAUUUAGCUUGGGGUCAAGGUGUGGUCUCUCUUAGGCAGAGAUCCAAGAUGUUUGAGGUUUAUUCAGAGAAUGUGAAGAACUCCAAGGAACGAUGUUACAUAUUUAACACCCUUAGAGUUGUCUUUGAGUGAGGCUUGGGAAGGUUGGAAGAAAGUUGAAUAUGACCUUCAAGAGAUCACACAUCUUGAAAACCUUGCAUGAUCUAAAGAGUAAGCAAAGUUGGUGGAAUAGUUUUUCUCCAUUCUGCAAGUGUUUUGAAAACGUAUUAAAGCAGGUAGAAUAAUUUCAUCCCAGGGUGCGAAUUUUUCGAGAACAUAUUUGUUAUGAUCAAGAAAUGGUGAAUGGGAAGCCGGUCGAUGGAGAUGAGUCGUAUUCAUAGCCUCUUGUAUCCUUUUUUAUUUUGUAUGCUCUUACCCGAUGUAACUUUAUUGGAUAAAUAUGUGGAUUUAUGUGCUUGUAGGUAGGGGUGUUCGCGGUGCGGUUUGGGAGGUUUUUCCGAUAAAAAUCACCCGAACCGCAAGAGAAAAAAGCAUGUGGUUCAGUUUGUUUCGGUUGGCUUUUAGAAAUAAAACCAAACCAAACCAAACCAAAUCAAUGCGGUUUGGGUUGGUUCGGUUGGUUCGGUUUUUUAUAAUAUUUUUAUUGAGUCAUAUUUACUCCUAUAAAUAAUGACAUAACUUUGUGUUUAGUCAUUCAUACAUUACUAAAUAACAUCAAAAUUCAUCAUAUUUAGACAAAAAUGUUUCAUUCAAUAUACAAAAAAUCAGAUUAGACAAAAGUGGAAUAAAAGACAAAUAAACUUUGUGUUUAGUCAUUCAUACAUUACUAAAUAACAUCAAAAUUCAUCAUAUUUAGACAAAAAUGUUUCAUUCAAUAUACAAAAAAUCAGAUUAGACAAAAGUGGAAUAAAAGACAAAUAUAAAUAAUAGCAUAAAAUAAUAUCAAAGACAUUAUAAUAAAACAUAAAAAAAAAACAUAUGAGAUGAGAGAUUAGAGAAGAUGAAAAAAAGAACAUAAGAGAUGCGAGAUUGAGAAGAAAAGUGCAAUAAAAACAUAAUUGGAAGAGAACAUAGUAACAUAAAAGAUAAAAAAGAAAGAACAUAAUAAAGGACUUAUUAGAGUAGAAUAUGCGAGACCUACAUGGAAAAGAAGAUGAGAAGAAUGUGUGAUACUAUUAUGAGAUAUUUAAGAAGGUUGAAAUUGAAACCCUAAGUGUGAUUAAGAGAAAAUCGUUUGUAAUUGUAAGGUUAAGGCAUACUAGGUUUGAGGUUUGGGUUGGAUGUGUGAUAAGUGAAGUUUGGGUUGUAACAUAAUGCAGUUUGGUUUGGUUUAGUUCGGUUUGCAAAAUACAAACCGCAAACCAAACUAAACUAUGCGGUUUUAUUAAAAAAUGACCCAAACGAAUCUGAACCAGAUGCAGUUUUUUGCGGUUUCGGUUUGGUUUGGUUUGGUUUGCGGUUUUCUAUUGGGUUGGUUUGGUUUGGUUUGCGGUUUUCUAUUGGGUUGGUUUGGUUUUGAACACCCCUACUUGUAGGUAUAACGUUUGCUGCAAUUAAUUUACUUAUAUGUUUUUGAUGAUGACAACACCAUAAGAUGAAGUCUUCAUAUGAAGUGUUGAUCAAGUUUUUAUGCUUGUAGAUUAAGAUGUCAAAACCAGUCUCUUAAGGACUACACCUAAUCUAAAUAGGUGUUCGGUGGAAUCUCUGAUGAUCUUUAAUCAGACAAUCUCUCUGAUGAUAAUAUCUAUCAAGAAGCCUUAUCAAACCUCAUUAGAUAGAUCUCAAGUCAAGUUCUGAAUGAAGUGCUGAAUUGUUGAUGUAUCAAGCAAAGGAUAAUUAAGCUUCAUAGUUUUUGAAAGAGAGGAAGCGUGAAAGCUCAUUUGGUUCACGUCUGAGUGAUCAGAGUUUUGUAAAAGAUAUUAAAGUAGUUCUUAAACUACAAAGGCAAUACACACACUCAUCUAAAAGUGUUUUAACCAAUCUAUUUGAUUAAAAUCCUUAAAAACUUUAGAGGAACCGUCAAAGUUCUUGUGAGAUUGAUAAAGGGUGUUUCUAAAUAUUUAGGUGGCUUAUAUACAUUGCCCAAUUGAUUAAAAUCCUUAGCCAAUCAAUUAGAGCAAGGUUUAAAUCUUCCUAAUAGAUUAUGAACACUUCUAAUUAAUUAGGACAUUGACCUUUAUAUGGUUUCCUUUUUGGGAAUUAGGGUUUCCAUUUUUAUAAAGCACAUAUAAUUGAUUAGGUAUUUGGCAUAAUCGAUUAUGAGCAUUAAAAAACUCAUGUAUAGUUUUCCUUUUUGAGCCAAAUUUCUCUCCUAUAAAUAAAGGGCUCUCCUUACUUUCAAACUACACCAGAAAAUAUGUUUUAAUACUCUUUGGUACUUUCUACUUAUUUACUUAUCAUUUCUCUCAUUCAUUAAAUAUGUAUUAGUGCUUUAGGAGUGAAAAAUGUCAGUAAGGCAUUUUUUGUAUUCUAAUGCAGGGAUACUGUUAUAAUUUGUGCAAGAGAUUUUUCAUCUCUUGUGGAAUAUCUUUUGUGAGAAGUCCAUGUUUGAUUUGUGAUCUUAGGUAGUAAAAACACUCAUUUAGUUUGUAAGAUUGUCCUUUAAAACCUUCGUAUGGUCAGUGAGCUUCACCUGAUAUAAAAGCUCUCAUUUGGUUUGUGAUAUUGUCUAUUAAAAUCUCUAUAUUGUUUGUGAGAUUCUACUGAUAUAAAACUCUCAUUUGGUUUGUGAUAUUGUACGUCAAAAUCUUUGUUUGGUUCGUGAUUUGUGUUAGGUGUAAAAGCUCUCAUUUGGUUCGAGAUUAGCCUCGUAUAAAAUCUAGUGUUUGAUUUGGAGGAUAGCCAGUGUAAAACUCCAAGUUUAGUUGUAAGAAGGUUCGUCUCCAUAACUUAUAAAAAGCUCACACAUAUAGUGGAAACUCUCAUGAAGAAAUUCCUUGGGAGAGGAGUAGGUCAAGUGGUUAGAUUAAACCUCUAUAUCUCGUGCAAUCUUCUUAUCCCUCAUAUCUUUCUAUUUUUAUUAUUUACUAUUUUUGGUGCGCUCAAAUAGUUUUUCUACUAUGAUUUUAUUCUACUUAUUUAUUUCACUGCUUACUCUUAGUUUAAGUUAAAAAACUAUUUUAAGCAAUUGCUUUUGCCAAAAAAAAUUUAAUUGAAAAUUGUUUUUCAGAGAAACACAAUUCAACCUCAUCCCAUCUCUUAUGUUUGGAGUCACUUAUUCGAAAAAAUAAAUUCCAUGGCCCCUUCUUAUAUCUUACUUCAUUUACUUAGCGUUGUUUUUACCUUUUACGACGUUGUUUUGAGCCUUGAGUUCAUCUUUAUGAAAAUAGCUCAUUUUUCGAGGUCGUGCUUGAUGUUUUAUUGGAUGUCUCUAAUAAAUGUGCUCACCAAGGGUUUGCUCCUCUUCUUUUUCCCCAAUUUUAUACUUGGUCCAAGGCCGACAUAGUGAGGACUCACUACUUGAGCUCUAGAGUGUCUAGCUACCAUGGGGCGAGCCCUUAAUCACCAUUUUAUGGUGUGAUAUCUUUAUUCAUGUGAUUUUCGAUGUGGGUUUUUUAUUGCUUUAGUCGUGCGUUGCUCUGUUGUAUUUGCAACAUCACCUCUGAGUCGUUUGACGUGAGGUUUUAAUUACUUUGAUCGUACGCCUGUGGCAUUUGUGACAGAACUCCUGAUUCGUGGCUAUCCUUUAUGAUUACAAGGAAGAAAAUAUAAUGAAACUUUAUUCAUUGAUAUUGAAAAAAGGUAUUACAUUAUAAUAAAAUGUGUUCUUUACACAUAUGAUAAAAGGGAAAUUUAACCAAGAGGUGUGAGUGUUGCUUAUUUUCUUUCGGGUGUACUUUUAUGGUGUGCCAUGGUCGUCCUUAAUCUUUAUUCAGAUUCGUCCCCUGCAUCUGUCAAGUUAAAAUUAUUUGCAUCAUACCUCCUAGGAUCCCUGGUCCUUUAUUUUAGGGGUUUGAUCACCAUUUAUUUUAACUGUUUGAUGAGGAAGGUCACGUUGAUAUCUGCCACCUUCUCUUUGUCUUUCCUCUUCUAGUCGUGUUGCAACAUUUUAUGUAUCCUUCAUGAUCUGGACAAGUCGGCGCACAUUGUCACCAACACUUCAUGAACAUUGUGAUAUUUCAAUUUGAGGUGGACCAGGGAGGCCAUCACGUACAUCAUUGUCGUGAAUGGUUUACCCAAGAUGUAGUUAUAGACACUCCUGUAGAGAAUUACUAGUAAUUGUAGGUUAAUCGUCCUGGUGUUCCUCCCUCCUAUUAAAGUAACCAUAAACUUAAUAUACCCCCAUGAGCGAGCUACCAUGUCGUUAAAGGCUUGUGGGUCAAAUCCCUCGUAUGGACAUAACUUAUCCCUUCUCAGUCCAAGUUUUUUGAAAAGCUCUGCAUACAUAAUGUUCAAAGAUCCCCCUAUCAAUGAGGAUCUUAGAUACGUUAAAAGGGGUCAUGGUUUCCGUUAUAACCAAGGGGGAAAAUCACGUUUGGGAUUCUUGCCUACCUUUUCACUAUCCCGAAAUCCGAGGACAAGCCUUUCCAAUUUCUCGUCAAGAGUUGUUUCUCAUUCUUUUGUGAGUUCCAUUAACUUGAUGAUCCUUAUCUUCACAAUCCCAUUGUAAGGUUUUUUUUAUGGUAAUGCUUCCAUCAAUGGAAACGAUAUAGUGUUGUUUCCCUAUUUUAUCUUUUUUUUCCUUUGCUACUAUCUUUAUUUCUCUUCGAUCUAGUCAUGAACUCGAUAGUUUUCUUGGGGGAUGCUUUCUUCAGGAGAGGGGGUCGUUUAUUCUUUGACAACUCAUCCCAUGCUCUAUGAUCUCUCUUUCGGUCCCAUAUGUCUCUUCGGGCUAUUUUCUAUGUAUACCCGACGAGUCACUUCUUUUUUCCCAACUCUUCAAUUACAUCAUUCAGAUGGAUGCAUUCGUUAGUGUUGUGGUCUUUUGCUGAAAUGACAUUAUUUUAACUUAUUUUUCCUAUCUAACUUUCUCACAUGAUAGAAUUUCUUGAUCCCCUCUUAUUUUAAUUUGUUAUUUGUGCAUUCUCGCUAGAGUUUCUUCCUUUAUGUGUUCAAAUGAGUGUAUGUAGAAAAUUUAGCUCGAGGUCCUCAGUGUUCAUCGCCUUUACGAUGAUUAUUGUCUUUUUCUGGCGCUCAUCCAUAUCCGAGGUUUCUCGUUCCCUGUUUAUUCUCUCCAGCUAAGAGUUCUUCCUUGUAGUUGAUAUAAGGUUAGGCUCUACCCAGCAGGUCACUUAAACUACAAGCUCCUUCCAAUCCUAGUUUUUCCUAGAACAUGCAAUCUGACCUUGGUCGCCUUUUGAAUAUCCAACAUUUUAAUCCAUCAUUCGUACCUCAUACUUCCACAACUACCUUGUUAAAUCAAUCGAUGUACUCCUACAAUGUAUUUUACUUCUUUUGUGUGAUCCUACUGAGUACAACCACAAAUGUGGAUUUCCGCUUUCGAGAGGUAAAAUAAGUAAGGAAAGAGUCACAUUGUUCCUUCCAUGAAUCUAUGCUCAUAUCUAGUAGGGUUUUAAACCAUAUCAUAAAAGUUUACUUAAGGGUCAAUGCAAAGAGCUUGCAUUUCAAAACACCUUGGGCGAGGUAAUAAUCCAAUCUAUUGUCCAUAUUUUGAAUUUUUUAUUUGGAUACCAUGUAUCGUUGUAACUUUCUAGCUUUGGGAGCUUCUCAAAGGACCUCAGGAUCCUACUGCCAAGAAUGCAUAAGGAGAACGUGUUCCUAUUUUGCUCAGAGGUCGAUGUAUCUGUGUCACGAAUUUCUCCACUCCGAUAAUGGUGUUUUAGUGAGCGAGCUAAGAUGACAACGAACCUAGGUGGAGUAUGAGUGUUAAUUCUCCCUCGGAGUCGGGUGAAGGGGUAUGAUGUCCUAUAUUCCAAUUACGACCUUUUGAUCUUGUGAUUUCUUGAUGUAGUAAAGAUUCAUCUAUUUGAUUUAACUGGAGAAUGACUCAUUCGUUGUUGUGCAAAGCUGCCUCGUGCAUGGUUUGGUUCUUAGAAAAUCCCCUAGUAGGUUCAUUUCAAUCCUAAGUUUCUUGUCUGCUAAGGCUUAAAAAAUUUAUGGUUGUACUAAAUUAUAGACAAUCUUCAGUAGGUCGAAGACCCCUUGCAUUCCUAUGUUAGCUUGCAAUUGUCGAAUAUUUAUGAGCAUCCCUUAUCCAAGUAUUGACGAUUGCGAUGGAGGUUGCUUCAAAGCUUGGUCUUGGCAAAGUUAUUACAGAGGUUGGAAAAACUGAAGGGCUUGGAAUGUUCCCCACUCAACUCUCAGAGGAAUAAAAUCUUGUUGCACAUGAACAAACAUAGAGGUCACUAGAAUUAGAUCAUCUUCUACUUGAGGAGGAUGUGGAGCCUUGUUAACUUCAAUAGUCAUCAAAGUGCCAUGAUUUUGAGCGCAUGGUCUAGUAAUCUUUGAUGUCACCAUGGUUUUGCAUAUUUGAUAUAUGGUUUGUUCGAGAAAGAGAUUAAUGCGUCAUGAAAAGAAGAUCGAUGAUCUGAAUCUUCAGUGAAGCCACAAUGAUUUUUUCGUUGAAAAAGGGCAUGCAUAAGCGGCUAACUACGCCACUAUUAUGUUUAGGAACUAGAGAUAUCUGAUGAAGUGAUGGAAUGAAGCUCACUUACAAUGGAUCAGUCUUCUAAUGUGAUAGAUUAGACUUAUAACACAACGGAUAAUGGGGUUUACCUACAAGGUAAGCACCCAAACGCCUAAGAUAGUUAAUGCGUGAAAAAUAGGUUUAGAGUGAGAAUGAAUUGAGUACUUGAAAUGACGUGAACUAGUCUUUAUAUAGUAUGGGCAAUUAAAAUCCCUUGCACGGAUUCGAGGCCUUUUAUGAAUUAUCGUUCUAUUAGAUCCAACAAUGAGAGAUGUGAUGGAGAGCGUGAUCGUGUAUCCUUGACAGGAGCGAGGGUCUACCUUUUUCAUGCACCUUCUUCUCUAACAAUCAUUAUUGGACAUGCUUUAUGGGCCUUGUAGGAAAGUGUUUUAAAAAUAGGAUCGGACAGGCCGGUCAAAUUAGGAAUCAGAGGAGUUGGUUGUCUGGUGUGAUUGUUGGAUCAGGUAAGCUAUUGAACCAGUGAGAACCGAUCAGAAUCAGAUAAAAUCGAGAAAAAAAAUGACGAACGGGUGGUUUUAGAAAAUCAUUAAGUUAAAUGCUUGUGUUUUUUUUCUCAUACAAAACGACAUGAUUUUGAUAAUUUAAAAAAGAUCAUAAAACUAAAAUAUAAGUAAAAUUUAUUCAAAUCUUAUUUCGAACAACUUUCUCUCCUUAGAAUUAAAUUUAUUAGUUUAUCUUGCAAUUAAAUUUUGUUCAAAAUUUAUUUGGAUUUGUAUUUUGUACUAUUUAAUGACUAUGUUUAAAAUUUGAAUAUAAAAAAUGAAUUUGUAAAAUUACGACCUUUUAAAAAUUUAAAAAUUGUGUAGGUGUCAUGAUUUGUUUUAAAGAUAGAUCAUCUAAUUUGAUAAGUUUAACAACUAUAUAGUCUUGUUAUAUAGAAAUUAAUUUAUUCAACUGAAUCAUCUAAUUAAUCGGAUUUAAUUAUGUGGUUUGAUGAUAUCCAAUUGUUCGGUCAAUAAACCAAUAAUUCAAUGUUCCCAUAACUUUGAUAACUAAUCUGAUUUUUAAAGCGGUUAGAACAAUUAACAAUUAAUAUCAAAAUUAAAAUUUAUUGUGAAAAGAAAAUAUUAAUAUUAAAGUGUAUAUUUUUUUAGGAGAGAUUAUUCUUAUUAUUUAAAAACAAGUCUUUCCCUUAAAAAAAUAGCGAGGUGCAAUAACACAAGGCAAGUCAUUUGUCAAAAUAAAAUAAAAUAAAAUAACUAUAAAAAAUUGGGUUUUACUUUAAGCGAUUUUCACUGAUUUAAGUGGUUUUUUUUACCCAAAUAACCCACUUUUUCAAGGAAAUUCCCAAAAUACCCCUAGUUUCAAAAAAAAUCCCAAAAUACCCCACUUUUAGGAGGAGUCGCCAAUUGAAUUGGAGACUCCUCUUAAAACUUAAAAUAACCCACUUUUUCAAGGAAAUUCCCAAAAUACCCCUAGUUUCAAAAAAAAUCCCAAAAUACCCCACUUUUAGGAGGAGUCGCCAAUUGAAUUGGAGACUCCUCUUAAAACUUGAAUGGAGGCGUCAAUUGGAUUGGCUAGGGCAGGUGCCCUAGCCAAUCCAAUGGGCUCCUAUGUGUAGGUUUUAAGAGGAGUCGCCAAUUCAAUUGGAGACUCCUCCUAAAAUACAUUUUUUUGUGUUUUAUGGUAUAAGUGAAAGAUAAAUUUGAUAUAAUACGAAUUGAUAUUAAUAAAGUUUGGAGUUUACACAAAGAAACCUAAUGGUGAUGACCGGGAUCACCUAACCGACCUCCGGUCCCACAUCCUCUAGCUACCAUAACCCUUGGCCCUAACCGACGUUGACGAUUCUGCACCGGUGUUUGAUCAUCUGAGGGGCCAGGAGCGUCACUACCAACUACAGGAGAAGGUCUGUUGAGGUAUUCAGACUAGUCAGCAUAGUCUUUAGUAUGCAUUGAUGGUGUACCGCCGUAGCUGAGCUCAUGACCCAUGCCAGAGAAGUUGGGAUGUGGUUGACUCAUGGAUGGGCGAUCGAGACGGUUGAAGGGAGACAUGGGUGUGAAUGAUGCGUCGAGGAAAGGUUGGAAAGGUUGUUGGGGUGUUUAGUAGAGAUAGGAUUGUUGGAUGUUUUGGUUUUGUGAUGUUUGGGCUUCUUGGCUACGGUAGGAGGAGGGGUGGUUGGUGUUUUGGCUAAGGCGACUUUGGUAGGGUGAUGGUGUGGGUGUGAAGCGAUGUUGGGUCUCAGGUUGAUGGUCAAUUUGUUGGUGGUGGUAUGGGGUAUGCUCUUGGUAUUGGAGUUGGGUGAAUGGCAUGUUUUGGUUGUAUGUUUGUGUGUUUGUGGAACGGAAAGUUUGACGGAUAGGAGGUUGUGAGUAACCGGGCUGAGAAUGUUGUUGGGGGUUAGAUGUUGAUCCUUCUUGUGUGUAACUUGCCUGGCGUGGGUCGUAUAGGUACAUAUCUUCGGCGAUGAACUGAAAACCAACCGAUCUGUACCAAGCCAUAUAAGUACGACUUGGUUUUACCUCANNNNNNNNNNNNNNNNNNNNNNNNNNNNNNNNNNNNNNNNNNNNNNNNNNNNNNNNNNNNNNNNNNNNNNNNNNNNNNNNNNNNNNNNNNNNNNNNNNNNNNNNNNNNNNNNNNNNNNNNNNNNNNNNNNNNNNNNNNNNNNNNNNNNNNNNNNNNNNNNNNNNNNNNNNNNNNNNNNNNNNNNNNNNNNNNNNNNNNNNNNNNNNNNNNNNNNNNNNNNNNNNNNNNNNNNNNNNNNNNNNNNNNNNNNNNNNNNNNNNNNNNNNNNNNNNNNNNNNNNNNNNNNNNNNNNNNNNNNNNNNNNNNNNNNNNNNNNNNNNNNNNNNNNNNNNNNNNNNNNNNNNNNNNNNNNNNNNNNNNNNNNNNNNNNNNNNNNNNNNNNNNNNNNNNNNNNNNNNNNNNNNNNNNNNNNNNNNNNNNNNNNNNNNNNNNNNNNNNNNNNNNNNNNNNNNNNNNNNNNNNNNNNUCUUGGUAUUGGGGUUGGGUGAAUGGCAUGUUUUGGUUGUAUGUUUGUGUGUUUGUGGAACGGAAAGUUUGACGGAUAGGGGGUUGUGAGUAACCGGGCUGAGAAUGUUGUUGGGGGUUAGAUGUUGAUCCUUCUUGUGUGUAACUUGCCUGGCGUGGGUCGUAUAGGUACAUAUCUUCGGCGAUGAACUGAAAACCAACCGAUCUGUACCAAGCCAUAUAAGUACGACUUGGUUUUACCUCAGUUGGCAUGACUGCGUCAGUUAAGACAUGGUCAUGACGGUGCUUCCACUUACGACACUCCGAUCUGACGAAGUUUUGCCAUGGGUUGAAGUUCCAUUGGUUGUUAACUUUACGCAAAUGCCAUUCUCCUAGGCUAGCUGGGGGAUCUGGGAUAUUCUGGACCAUACCGAACUGCAGCUCCACACGAUCGGUGUUGUGCAUCUCCACAGUUGUGAACCGUAUUAUCGGUGUGCAUGCUGUCCAUACGGUUGCGUCUUCAGCGUUGACCUCAUGGUCAUGAUCCAAAUUAAGGUAUGGACGCCAAAUGAACUGAAAUGUUAAAGAAGAUAGGAUUAUAAUGAAUGUAGAAAAAGUUAACAAAAUAUAACGAAAUAAUUAAGUUAUUUUGCUUACGUCUGUCGGUCGAAGGUGAUCCAACAGGUUGCGAUACUGAGUAAUACAGUGUCUCAGACAUCUGUUGUAACUCAUACCAUGUGCCGACCAUCUACACCAAAAAUUUAAAAAAAAAUUAGUUUGAGGUAAUAAACUUUAAGGAAGUAAGUAAAGAUAUAGAAAUUUAAACAACUUACUUUUGUGCAUAUGGAAAUGUGAAAGGGUUGUUAUUGACCGGUGCUAGAGACGGUAGUCUUGACCAACCCCAUGCUUGUAGAAAAACAGCACAUCCAGAAAAUGUAGAUGUAUCUUUGUGGGAGUUUUUGCACAACGAGCUAUAGAGAUAGGCUAGACAAGCAGGUCCCCAACUGUAACUUCCUAUUCUAUCUACAUGUCUAAGUAGAGGUAAGUACAUAAUAUGCAUGCUAGAACCACUACCUUCGAGAAAAUAAAAAGGAUCCUAUUAACAACAUAAUGUAACACCUAGUUUUUAUUAUUCGAGCAUCUUCGGUAGAAUGCUCAUCUAAGUAUAAACUAUUAUAAUAUGACUUUAGGCGUGAGAGUAGUAUACCUUGACCUCUAGCAUUAUCAUCUAACAAAUCAGUGUCUAAGAGCUUCAUGCAAAUUGAAUUUGCAUAGUUGGUCUUACCAUUAACAACCUUGCCUUCAAUUGGUAGUCUUAAAAGCAUGUAGACGUCUUCUAACGUCACUGUACACUCACCGGUUGGGAACCAAAAUGUGUGUGUCUCUGGUCUCCAUCUUUCGCAUAAGGCUAGAAUGAAUUUGUUAUCUAUAGACCAAGACAAAAUCUUGCUAAUAUGACCAAAACCGGCGAGUUCAACAUAAGGUUGAAUCAUCGGGUCCAUAUGGACAUAUUCGUGGACCCGAGUUCGAAACCUUGAUACAUCCUAUAAAAGAAAGAAUAAAACACUUGACUAAGUUGGUAUGUCAAAAUAAAAUGGGGUUGGUGAAGAUGAAAGAUAAAAAGUUAACAAAAGAAAAAACUUACAUAUGUUGCGAUGUUUGCAACCGUUCCUCUAUGUGCUUCGCCCAUUGUGAGUAAAGACAUUUUGUUGGGGGGUUGGUGUAGAUGAAACUAGAAGAUGUUGUUGAAGAUGAAAUUGUAAAAGAAGUAUUGUAGAGGAAGUAGUGAGAGUGAUGGUGUGGAAGAAGUGUUGAUGAAAUGGAUGUAUUUAUAGGCAAAUGGAUGGGAGCAUGAAAAGUUGUGCUUGCAUGGUGUCUCCACAUGAAUUGGCGACCAUGUACAAGCUUUAAGAGGGGUCGCCAUUCAAAUUGGCGCCUCCAUAGGGACAUGCAUGCAAGACCUAGGUCUGAAUGCUUGGUUUCGAGGUCUGAAUGCAUGGUGUCUCCACUUGAAUUGGCGACCAUGUACAAGGAAUAAGUGGAGGCGCCAAUCCAUUUGGAGUGUGUGUCUGCAUGUCUGACACGUGGCUGUCUUGUCUCCUGCAUGCUGAACAAGUCACUUCUUGAUAGCUUGCAUGGUUGACACAUCAUCUCAGACUAUCUUGCAUGUCUGACACAUCAUCUCAGACUAGCUUGCAUGUCCGACACGUCAUCUCAGACUAUCUUGCAUGUCCGACACGUCACUCCGAACUAGCUAGCAUGUGAGACACUUCACUCAUCUAUUUAAGUGUCUUACUAUCAACAUCCAAGACACUUCACUCACAUUCAUCUGCAGUAAGAAAAUAGUUUUCAUCUGCACAAUGUCAUCUUCAUCAUUAUACAGUGUCAACGUUCACUGCAACGGUGAAACAUUUGAGUCUGAGCUUCAUGGUUUUUGUUUUCGAAACACUGAUACCAUUAGAAUCACGAUCAAGAGAAAUGCAACCUUCUUGCAUUUGAAAAAAAGAAUACAAUCCUUUAUAGGAUCGGGUAUUGUGUCAAAGAUCACAUAUCAAAAUCCAAUAUUUUUUGAGAAUGGUCAAUGCAAGUAUUUCCCCCUUAAGGUACGAGACGAUGAAGAUGUUGAAUACAUGUUUGUUAGUCAUGAACAUUCAGGCUGCAACUGUAUUGAGUUGUACAUUACUCUUCAACCAUGUAUACCAUCUCAACAGUCUCAACUAACCGGUCAGGAUGAAUCUGGUGAAGAUGAUCGACAAUGGUCAGAUGACGUCAACCCAGAAGCAGAGGCAGAAGUGGAUGUCGUUGAUGAAGAAGAAGAGGAGACCGAGAUACAGGUUGAUCACAUGCUGAACAACGACGAUGAAGAUGAUGAUCAACCACCACCAAUACCUCCUAGUCAUGUCUACAAUCCGCCUCAACAUAUGACAAAUAUGGAUCUUCACGACGAUGAAACAUCCAACAGUGUUUUCUAUAAUCCGUAUCCGAGAUCAGAAGGCGAAUUAAAGGUGGGAGACAUGUUUCGUACCAAAGAAGAAUGUGUUCUGGCAAUCAAAAAAUUCCACAUGAACAACUCUGCUGACUUUACAGUGAAACGCACUGAUUCUAGAAGGUAUGUUAUCGAAUGUCGUAACAUGCUUUGUAAGUUUCGUUUGGCUGCAUCUUACAAGAAGAAAAAUGACUCUUGGGAGAUCGCUUCAAUAGACCCACCGCACAGUUGCAUUGCAACUAACGUUGAACAAGAUCACCGUAAACUAAGCGCAACUUUGAUAUGUCAAGACAUUCUGCCGUUGGUUAAUAAAGACCCAUCAGUGAAGGUGAGUAUAAUUAUAUCCCAUAUCCGAACAACAUAUAAUUAUACUCCAUCUUACAAGAAAGCAUGGAUUGCGAGGACAAAGGCUGUUGAACAGGUUUUCGGCAACUGGGAGGAUUCAUUCAAGGAAUUACCACGGUUUUUAUGGGCACUAAAAACAUAUGUCCCAGGAACUGUGGCAAUUAUGGAGACAGUGCCAGCAAUGAUGCCAGACGGAACCUGUGCUACAGGUAAUAGAAUAUUUCACCGUCUCUUUUGGGCAUUUGACCCGUGCAUCAAAGGUUUCGCAUUCUGCAAACCUAUUAUUCAAAUUGAUGGCACUUGGUUAUACGGAAAAUACAAGGGUACUUUGCUCAUGGCGGUUGCACAAGACGGCAACAACAAUGUCUUUCCCAUUGCCUUUGCUCUUGUUGAAGGUGAAACGGCUGGUGGAUGGGGUUUCUUUCUUCGACAUCUCAGAACGCAUGUCGCUCCACAAGCCAAUCUAUGUUUGAUUUCUGAUAGACAUGCUGCCAUUGAAAGUGCCUACAACAACCAUGACAACGGAUGACAUGAUCCUCCUUCUACACAUGUCUACUGUAUCAGACACAUUGCACAAAACUUCAUGCGUGCUAUAAAAGAUAAGAAUCUUCGCAAGAAGGUGGUGAAUGCUGGGUAUGCUUUAACUCAACCGUCUUUUCAAUAUUAUCGUGAUGAGAUUCGUCUGUCUAAUGAAGACGCGGGGAGAUGGAUAAAUAACAUCCCAGUAGAGCAGUGGACAAGAGCAUUUGACGGUGGUUGUCGAUGGGGCCACAUGACAACAAACAUUGUGGAAUGCAUGAACGGGGUUUUCAAAGGAAUUCGAAAUCUGCCGAUAACCGCCUUGGUAAGAUCAACCUAUUAUAGGUUGGCUUCUAUGUUCGCAACCAGAGGUGAAAGAUGGAGUGCAGUGUUAAUGUCCGGACAAGUAUUCAGUGAGUGUUGCAUGAAGGUCAUGAAAGAGGAGAGCAUCAAAGCUACCACACACGCUGUAACAGUCUUUGACCGUCAUAGACAAAAUUUCAGCGUCCAGGAAACAAUGGGCAACAACGAGGGGAGACCAAAUUUAGCCUACGCUGUUAGACUACACAGAAGUUGGUGCGAUUGUGGAAAAUUUCAGGCCUUCCGCAUACCUUGCUCCCAUGUCAUUGCAGCAUGCGCUUAUACUCGUCAAGACGCUUACACCCAUUUAUCUGAUGUGUACAAGGCCAACACCAUCAUGAAUGUAUAUACUCAAAGCUUCUCAGUACUACCAAUGGAGGAUUACUGGCCUCCAUAUGAAGGAGAUAUUGUUUGGCACAAUGACGAGAUGCGUAGAAAGAAGAAAGGAAUGCCAAACAACACACGUAUAAGAACAAAGAUGGAUUCCACAGAUAAAAUGAUAAGAUUAUGUAGUAUCUGUCGUCAACCAGGACACAACAAAAACAACUGCCCCAAUCGAGGAGCAUCAUCUAGGUCUUAAGCUUUUUGUAACAUUGUAUUUCUGUAACAUUCAAUCAUUAUAUAUCAUUAAGUUCUUGUUACAACGAGGUUCACAACAAACAUCACUACAAAACAUCUGAAAAUAUAAAUAUUUCUAACUGAUUACAAUAAUCAAAUUGAUGUCGUCUCGACCGAACAUCAUUUCCCUAGCAUCCUUAUCAGUCUUCAUUCGCACCCAAUCAAAGAUAUUGUCAAGUCUCUCAAUACUUCUGAUUUUUUCCCCUUCUGGUAUUUUCCCAUCUAACCAACGAACCAGCUCCCUCUAGUCAACUAGCUUGCACCACUACAAGGUUUUGUCGUAGUCGUAUUGAGGUUUGUCUCUCGCAUAAAUCACCUUUCCGUAUCGGCGACGAACACCAAACAUGAUAGCCAAAUGAUUAUAUGAGAUGUGAAACAAUUGGUCACACAACGCAUCUAUUUAUAAGACAAAAAAUGCAUUUUAUGAGGAGUCUCCAAUUGAAUUGGCAACUCCUCUUAAAACCUGCACAUAGGCGCCAAUUGGAUUGGCUAGGGCGUCCAUUCAAGUUUUAAGAGGAGUCGUCAAUUCAAUUGGAGACUCCUCCUAAAAGUGGGAUAUUUUGGGAUUUUUUUUAAAUCAGGGAUAUUUUGGGAAUUUCCUUGAAAAACUGGGUUAUUUUUGUAAAAAAAACCGAUUUAAGUGAAUUAGUGGUCAUAGUUUUGAAUUUUAAUUCAAUCCAUCAAGCAUAGUUUAUCUACUUAUAUAAAGUUUUGUGUCACUAUUUAAUAAUCCUUUUCAAAACAGUUUAUAUCAUUUUUCUUAAAUUUUUUUGAAUAUAUUUUUAUACAUUCUCCAAGAUAUCAUAGGAAUCAGCUUAGAACAUAGAUAAAAACAAUUUAUAUUUAUUUUAUCUUUUGUUCUAUAAGUUCUUAUUUUGACAAGUGUUUGUGUGAUAAGCUUCCAUUUAUCCAAACAAGCCCUAAUAGGGCACUUUGAUUUUCAAAAAAUAUUGAACAUAGCCUAAAUUAUCUUUAACUUGUAAUAUCAAAAUUUACAAUUUUUCAUUGAAAUUGGUAUAAAAUAUUGGAGACCAAAUACCAAAAUAAACCAAACAAAAAAUAUUGGUGUACGAAGAGACACCUUAUCCUCCUGAAGGUCUUGUUCUAUCCGUUGAUAACUGCAACAACAACACCGCAAUGCCCACUUUGAACCUCUUCACCAACAUUCCUGUGGACCCUGUUAUUGCUUCAGACAUUCUCAGAGAUGCCACCAAAGCUGUUGCAAAGAUCAUUGGAAAACCCGAAUCCGUUGAGUACAUUUUUAGACAUUCUUCAUUCUUGACCACCAGUUGUUUGAUGAAAUUACUCUGUAGAUGACAAUACUUUAUCAAACCCUUGAUGGUCUUAAUGCCAGCAACACUCAAUUGUAGUUUUAUCUAUCAACUUUAUUUAGUUCAAUUUGACUUAAAUUUGUGUUUUUUUUUGGAUUGUGUUUCAGUAUGUGAUGAUUUUGUUGAAUGGUGGAGUGCCUAUUGCAUUUGGUGGGACUGAAGAGCCUGCUGCCUAUGGAGAAUUGGUAUCAAUUGGGGGUCUUGGUCCAACUGUUAAUGGAAAAUUGAGUUCUACUAUUGCCGAAAUUAUUCAAACUAAGCUGUACAUUGAUAGCUCCAGAUUCUACAUCAAGUUUUAUGAUGUGGAGGUAAAUUUCUGUUCUUUUUUCUGUUUUUAACUGGCAUCUGGUAUAUUCGUUCUAUUCAAUUAUGAUUCUCAGUUACCUUACUUUAUCUAGUUAUGCGUGGUACUCUAUUUCAUGUAUUAUUCUCAUUAAGUAUUUGGAUAAUAGGAUAAAAUCAAUAAUAUGGCUUGAGAGACUGUACUUGAUAGGUUGUGAGAACAUUGUGCCUGAGGAUUAUUUCACCCCAAAGGUGAAUAUUUUGGGUGCCAAAAUUUAUCGGCUUUUUGGAAAUUAUUCCAGAUAUAUGAAGCAACAAUGGAUGUUGUUAUUUUUGUGACUGGUAACUCCUUUGUUAGUUGGUUAGGUUGGAGUGUGAUGUUAUGCAUAUAAAUACGAGGAGAGAAUUAUGGGAAGAUUGGUUUUUGAUGGGGAGCAGAUUCUACGGUGUAUCAGUCCGGUGUUGCAGUUCCGUUUGGUCUGUUGUAGUGUAUAUCAGAUUUUUUCUGCUAAAUCAGCCCUGGCUCUCCUGUCAUGGGGUGGUUUAUGUUUUAGCUUUUCUUAGUUUUGGUCGUUGUGAUGUAUGCCUUUUCGAAUGGUUUGGUAAUGGGAUUGUUUCUGUUAUGGAUUUGUGUCGAUCUGCAGCUUUGCGGCCUGUUUUUUCAGUCCAUUUGUACUCUUACUCUAAUUUCCUUCUUGUGCACAUCUUGUCUAGUGAAUCCAAUUAAUAUAUUUUGAUGUUAAAAAAAUGUGUAUAAAUAGGAGGAAGGGAUUAGAGUGAGGUAGCUUGUCAUUUUGAUUGAGUUGGCGGCGCAGACCCUUGAAGCUCUGCAACAUUGUAAUCCAAGAAGCUUCCUUAUUCUUUUGUAAUGAGAUACUAGUUCCCAUCACAUUUUGUGGAAAUAGUUCUCAACAUAUAGUGAUCUGUAUCAUGAUUUAUGUAUUUUCACUAUCAUUUUGAAUUUACUGAAGUAUCUUUUACAAGAUAUAUUUUAUUAUUUCAUUGCUGACAUUCUAGAUCUCAUUUUAUUUGUUGUGGUGCAGCGCUCUUUUUUUGGGUUCAAUGGCUCAACCUUCUGAUCAGAGGUAUUUCAAGUCAAAGAUUUGAGCAGCUUCACAAGGAAGAAAUCUAUUUCAUCUUUCUGUGGAUCAUUACAAAUUUGUAUGUUGGUGAACAAACACAUUUGAUAUAUAAAAAUGUAUCCUUCUCAGUCCCCUCAUUUUGGUCUGUUCAAGAAUCAUUUAAUUUAUUGUUCUUCUUGUUGGACCUGAAUCUCAGUAACAGAUUAUAUAAAACAGAUAGAAGUUAUUUAGAUUUUAAAGAGAAAGCUAGCAAUCAAUAAACACUUGAGUGACACUCCAACUAAAAAGAUAGCAAGUAAUGUUAUGCGUGAAGGAUGCCUCAUGAAAUUUUCUCACAGUUUUCUCUCACAGUUCAUGAUUAUUUUACAAAUCAAGCAUUGAUAAAAAAAAGUUCUAUUCUAUCUCAGUCCGCAUUUUUUUAAUUAACGUGAAUGAUCUUACUAAGAUGAGUUUGUGGCAUGUAAUAAGCAUCUCACCUAAGUGUGUUUGUUUAAUAAAAAACUAUUUUGUGAAAUUGAUUUUACUCAAAAUUGGAUUGAAUAUAGUAGGACAUAAUUGAAAGUAUUAGUGUAAAAUUAAGUUGAACAAUAAACUUAAACACAACAAUCUAUUUCAAAUUAGAAUGAAUUUUUAAAGCUAUAUAUCAAUUGCGAUUGACACUACCAGAUCGUCUGAUUAUGAUCGUUUUUCAACUUAACGGAUACAUUAUGUUCACCAAAAUCCAAGGAGAGAUUAAUUAAAUGAAAAUAACUAUAUCCAAAAAACUGACCUCUAAACUAAAGUUGAUUCAAAGGAAAGAAAUGUAAUUUUAUUAGGAAUGAAACUCUACCUACAAAAUUCCACAAUAAGAAUAUAUGAUAAUAAAUUUAUUCUUUACACUGAAAAUUGGAGUAAAUCUGUAAAUGUAUCCAUACAGAACAGUAUAGCACAAGUGCUGCAGCUACAUUUGAAAGCUAGCUUUGUAAAUCAUUUUACAAAUGGAGUGCUUAAAAUUACAGCAUCAUCCCCAAAUCACCAUCCAUAUUUCGCUUGUGUUUCAGCUUUGGUAAGCAUGCCCUUGGAACGGCGCUCGGCGAGUUUCAUUUCAUUUUGUUUCAUAUCAAAGUACAAUGAACCAAUUUGAUGCUUCCUCUUCAUUAGCUUUGAAGGCUUUCCCUUUGCUGAAACAGGCUAUAAAAGGAAAGAAAACUGAUCAAUACAAAAUAGUAAUCAUAGUAGCAUACUUCACACCAAAAGUGGAUGGAGAAAAUAUGGUUGGAAGGGAGAUUCCACUAAAAGUGGAUACUACACACCAAAAAACACAGUUUCAAAAAAAAAUGGAGAAUACACAAAAAACAGUUGCAAAAAAAAAGGACUUCAGAUUUUGUCUGUGAAAAAUAAAUGAUUUAUCUUUUUGGGGCACCAGUAAAAUUAACUUUUUUUCUGUGCCUCCAAUUGCAAAAAUGGUGUAACAUGAACUAUGAUUUAUGGUUGUCACACAGUACUUUUUCCAUACAUAUGGACCCAAAAUCAAACUCAAGAACACAUGCUUAUAAUAUCUCAGCUAAGCACUUCCCACUACAAACCGACACAUGUCAAAAUUUUUGGUAUCACUACUAUUGCCUUUUAUAGGGAUAGUGGCAAUAGAAGAUGAAGAUCCAACAAUGCAGUAUAUAACAGUCCUAGUGUCCAACAAUAUUAUACCAUAAUUCUUUCGAUUGUUGUAAGAAAAAUACUCAAGCUAACAACUAUUUGAAAGGUUUUCUUUGUAGUUGCAAAGGCAUCCAAGAAAAUGGCAACAGAAAUAAAAGUUUAAAAAUAUAAGUUGGUUUUAUGCAUAGGCAUCCAACCAAGUUUUCCUACUAGACAGACAGACAUGACAACAACAACCAAGUUUUCCUACUAGAUGAGAUUGGUUACAUGGAUUAAUUAACUAAAGCCAAAAUGUUCUCUUGUGCGUUAAUUCAAAGAUAGAUCAUAAAACAGUCAAAUUCCACUAUGUUAAUUCAAACAGCUUCCUCUUAAAACCUCAAGGGUUUGCCGGUUGGUGAAAGACUUGGACAUGAGUCUGCUCCUCUCAAGGUCUCAAGUUCGAAUUUCACUAGGUGCUAACAAUCCUUGUGUUGGGUCAAUCCAUACAGAGCUUUGCUCUGCCUUUAAAUGGCCCCCCCGAUAGUGGACGGUGGGAAUGGUCCCCUUUGAUUAGUCACUCUCAAGGCCGGAUACCAAGUUUUCAAAAAAAAAAAAAUCAGCUUCCUCUUAUUUUCCUGACCACAGUAUUACUCACCAGCUGAAUGAGAUAGCAUAACAAAAUUCCUAAGGUCUGUCCUAUUGUUAACCACAAAAAUACAAAUACAUACGCUAAACGGAGCCAAGACAUAGUACCAACACUCAGCUGACUACAGAAACAACUAAGGAGGAUCAGAACUAGUCACCACCAAACAUCGACCCUGACUAAUUCAAAAAUUUUAAGCCAUGACUUUCCUUUUCUGUUCACAAAAAUGUUAGAUGCAAUGUUUGAAGCGUUCUACCCUGCAUUUAGUUGUUAAUCCCUAUCAAUGUAAGUAAAUGCACCUUGCAAAUCUCCAUUUAUACUAGAUAGCUAUAACCAAAUCAAUAUGCAAUUUAGGAUUUCUUUUACUUAUAGCAGUUGUUUUACAAAAAGAAGAAGGCUUAAAGGCUUUUAAAAGGGAGUUCAUUUUUUCUUAAUAAAAGAUGUUUUACAGUUUCUCUUGAAUGCAAUCCAAUUGGUGACCAAAAAAACCCAGCCUCUAUUGAGUUUACUAUCUCCUAUACUGUUUGAACAUACUUUCACGUAGGAUUUAACAAGGCUCUCAAAUUAUUUCAGAUACUGUUUUUUUAGUUACACAUUUUCCAUCUCGACCAUCACUCAUAUGUGCGCUUUACUAAAAUCGUCAUACCCCGCUCGCCUUACUAUCAAUUAAGUUAAAUUAAAUGUAAAACAAACACACAAAAAGCGCAAUCUCAAAAGUCCAUCACCUAGACACUAAAUCAAAUCCAAGUUUCACAAAAAAACACAAUACACAUCAUCAUCAUCGUCAUCAUCAUUAUCAUCUAUGUAACAUUAAAUAUUGAUUGUAUUCUCAGGUAAGAUAUGAGUAUCAACCAUUUAAAAAAGUUCCUAACAAGUAAAAGAAAACUGAACAAUACCUGGUAAGAAGGUCCAAAAGCUAACCCAGUUAGCUUGGCUUUAUCCUCUCUUGGUCUAUUCUUCAUCAACUCAUCUUGCUUCACUUCAAUCACUUCCACCGGAACCUCCUUCCUACCUCUCUUCCCAGUAAACUUCAACACACUCUCACUAAUCGCAGAAUCCUCCGGGGCCAUUGGCACCGACCUAUCAACCCAUUUAUUUUCAUACUGUCCAUAAUCCUCAUAGGCACCGUAGUUCGCAUACCCAUCACCAUUGGAAGCAGUGCCAGUGCUAGCACCAGAACUCUCAUACUGGUCAGUUGGAUAUUGGUAAUUCCCAUAACUAUCAUACUGGUCAGUGGCAUAUUGGUAAUUCUCAUAAUUUUCAUAAUCCCCUCGGUUUUGAUCUUCAGGAACAUUGCUCUCUGCGGCGACUGAGACAGAGACACCACCGGAACUUGGCUCCGGUGCUGGUGUGUUAGUUUCGAGGAUGGAUCUCCGGCCGGAACCUGAGCUUGAUUGAACACCAAGAGUGGAAGAGUUUCGCGGGGCUGGAAUGCUGGACAAAAAUGAUUUCACCGAUGGAGCUUGAAUGGAAGACUCCAACUUUCUUCUUCUGUUUCGUUCUUCUUCUUCGUCAUCAUCUUCAUCCUCUUCAAGAUUGGGUUUUGGUAAAGGAAUGAUUGGGGGUUUGAAUUGGACGACUCUUUUGGGUUUUUCAUGGAUUUGGGAUUUAGGUUUUGGGAGAGAAGAGAUUCCGGUCAAAUUGGAGGGGGCGGCGGAAAGUGUGUCGGAAGAGGGUUGUUUGGGAGGAGGAAGAAAGUUGAAGAGAGAAGAGGAAGAAGAUGAUUUGGGUGGAGGAAGAGUGGGGAAGAGGGAGGAAGAAGACGAAGUUGUUUUGGACGGGAUUGGUUGUUGGUGGUCUUCGUCUUCGUCUGAAGAGGCGUAAGUUGCUAGCAGAGAAUCCAUGGCGGCGAUGACGACGGAAACACGAUUGGAAUUAGCAGCAGCAAAUUUUUCUGAUCGAUUAACCCACUCAACCCUAGAUAUGCCUUUGCUAUUGCUGCGUUUUGUGUUUUUUUUUUAUGGUUUUAGGUGUAUUUGAAAAGUUUUUUUAUGGUAAAUUUAUUUGUGUUGUUUAAUCAAAAUUAUUACAAAAUACUAAAUAUUUUGGUUUAGGGAAGAAACAAGAUUUAAAGUAGAGUUUGGGUUAGUGUAUUAUAAUCAUUUAUAUGUGGUAUUUUAAAUGUGAUUAAAGUAAAAAUUAAAGAGUUAUGAUUAAUUAAUAGUGUAAAUUAUGCAUAUCAAUUAAAAAAUUUAUGGUAUUUAAAAAUAAAUAAAAAUUAUUCUCAUUUUAAUAGGAGUAUUAACAUAUAUAAGACGAAAAGUUCACUUGGACCUCCUUUGAAGAAUAACAUUCAUAUGAUUAAGUUUUUAGUGCCAUAUGAAGAAUAACAUACACAUGAUCAAGAAUAAUCUCGUUGAUGCGAUGUCUAAUUGAUGACGUCAAGACAAAAUGUAAUUCUUCGGUUAUGGACCUAAAGAAGGUUUAAGGAUCUUAUGAACAAGAAUGAAAUUGCCUUAAGAAAAUACAUGCUUAUAAAAUUUGUUUGAAGGAUGACAAUGAUAUAACAGAAUGAGUAAUAUUGUGGUAUAUGUCUCUUUGUACAACUAUCAUGCACAAGAAAUUCUUAAAUCCCAAAGAAACCAUAUGAUGUGACUAUAAAAGGAAAGUCAGUAUGUCAAAUUCCUAGACUGACUUGGAGAACACAGUACAAAUUCCUAAGAAUCAACCCAAAUAUGAUUUCCUCACACUUACAUGAGCAACUCCGAUCUACACCAGAUCAUUAACAUCGUCUGUAUCAAACGUGCAUUAAUAUUUCAAUGUGUUACUCAACAUGAGAGUGUUGAACCGUAGGGACAGAAUCACUUAAAACUUUAACCUUCCUUGUUGAGUCGUAGCUAGUAAGAUCAUUUAGAUUAACCUUAACUUUAACAAUGGACUAACUUUAUCUUCCCCACAUCAGGAAAUUUGGAUUCAUCUAUCUCCAACGUUUACAACAAUCCUUAUUUCUCCACCACACCUUGAACUUGUGCCACCUCAAAUGUCUCUCUACGAGUUGAGGAAACCCUGCAGAAAAAUCUCAAUAAAAGUUUUAAUGUCAAAACACUUGUUUAAAAAUUGAGAUAAUAAAUAAUUUGAAAUUGCAAAUGAAAGAGGUGAUUUGAAAUCUGAAAGAUAAGAGUAUUUAUAGGAGCAUUACACCUUUUUAAAAAGAGUCAAGAAUAGAGUAAACCAAAAUUUCCCUAAUCAGGGAAUCAAUUUCCACGCGAUGAAUUUGUAUAGGCUAAUAAUGUUGGGGUCAUAGAUGCCAAGAAGUUGAGAAAAGGCAAUGAUGAAAUAUUGUCUCGUUAUGGUACAUGUAUAAGCCUAACUUUUUUUUAAAAAGUAAGAAGGUGAAAGAAUAUAGAUCCAAUCCAAUAGUUGAAGAAAGGAAUCUAAAGGCCUCUCAACCACCGGUGAACAUAUAAUAUGUCACUAGAAGCCACAUCGUUUAAGAAAAGUAAUAGAUUUCGUCACACUUUGUAAUCAUACUAUACUUGUCAAAAUAAGUGUCAAUUUAAAGUAAAAAUCAUUUAAAGUUUUUGCAUACAUAUUAAGGAGUGAAAUAAAAUUGUCAAAAUAAGUGACAUUUAAAGUUUUUGAAUACAUAUUAAGGAGUGAAAUAAAAUUGUUAAAAUAUACUAUAUUUUUUCUAAAUUAACUUUAUUAAUGUGUUGGAAUAGUGUAUAUGAUAUGACUUAAAUUCUAUAAUUGAAAUAGGGUCAGUGGAUAACUCAACUAGUAUGUGUUAUUUGAGUUAAAUGUAUGUAAGUUGCUGAUCCAUGAUUCGAUUCCUGUAAACAAAUUGUUGAUAUUUAUAAGUCAACAACUUUAAAAAAUAACAAUUAAAAUGAUAUCAAUCAUUUUUAUUUCUAUAUUAAGAAGUGAGAAUGACAUUAAUUUUGAAAGAAAUUUUGUUUCCUAAAACAACACUCACUUUGAAAUGUAGAGAAUAGUUUAUAAUUUUCAUAAUACAUCAUUAAAAUCUUUGAAAUCAUUUCAAUGUUAUUAAAAAGUAAAAAGAUGUAUAUUUUAUAAUUAAUCGAUUUAUUUUUAGUAGAAAUACGAGUAACAUGUAGAGGUACUUAGGUACCAUUGGUGCCCAUGAGAGUAUGAGCCUAAGUAAAAGCAUUUUGUCAAACUACGAAUAUGCAUACAUGUGCUACAAUAUCCGACCCGUUGUCAUCUAUAGAAAGACUACUUAAAAGAACAUGAAGGUAAAAUCACUUUGUUAUUUUUAAAUAAUAAUCACUUUAUUGUUAAAAGAUUUAACAUUUGUAUUGACUUUAGAAUUCAUUUAUUAAUUAUCUAUUUACUCUACUUUUUUAUUUUAAAAUCACAAAGUUUGACACGCCGCAAGUGUAUGUCAAUAUCGAAGUAGUAAAAUGGUUGUCGUACCAUAGAGACCAAAUAAUUGAUUAUCGAUUUCUAUCUUAUCGUUGUUUAGAUAAAGCGAUAAAAAAUGAGUUUGGGAUUAUAUUUUCUGUUAAGAAAUAAGAAGCUUAAAACAUGACAUAGGGUGGAUGAUUCAUAUCCAAAAAGACUCACGUGAUCUAUAGUUCUAUCAUGAGAAACAUAUCAAAUUAUAGAAAAAUAAAGAAAAUUAGACAACACCUAAUUUCGUUAGCGGGUUGUCUUGUCUCAAAUAAAUAAUUUAUCCACUUUCAUCAGCCCAAUUUAUUUGCUAGAGAUUAGUUUUACGCAACUAUAAAAGUGGAGCUUUCACAACCGAGUUUGAGAUAUUUUCGUUGUCUCGUACUCAGAUGUCUAGAACUCCGCUUUCGAAUACCAAAAUACACCCUUUCAGUGUAUGAUCGGUAUAUGAAAUGUCCUUACUUUUGUAAAUGGCAUAUGCGUUAAAAGCUUAUAAUUCUAAAAUAAUUUUUGGUUUUGUUUCUCAUAAGAAAAUAGUAGAGGGUUUCAUAUGAGGUAUAUCACGAGACAAUCCUCAUGACCCUUAGUCCCUAAGAGACUACUCGCGCAUGUUUAUCAGUAAAACAAAUAAAGUAUACAUGGUAUUAGUAUACAUGAUAACAGAAAACAAUAACAAUAAUAAGUAAAAUAGGAACCUUAUUUGAAACCAAUAAAUAAUUUGAAUAGAAAACCUUCAAUGGAGUUCUUUAGUACAGCAAUACAAGUAGCUUUAACUGAAGAAAAAUGUAGGAAAAUAAAUUGUGUAAACUAAAUGCAAUUCUAAGGCAUAAGAUAUCUUGUUAACCCUUAAUUCCAAUUAUGAAUAGGCUAAUCCCAUUACUACAAGACUUAAUUUCAUGUCCUUAUAUGUUCAUGGGUGUUUCUUUACAAAACAAAACAAUCAGAAUCAGAAAAGGUGGGAGAAAAUGCAACAAAAGAAAAAAGGAAAUCGUAAUUGCCUGGGGCUGCUACUGCAUGUAGGCGGUGCUACGGCCGACGCAUAAUAGAUCCCUGGAUUUUUGUAUGGAGGUCUUCUGGGGGACAUUUCGGCCCGUAGCCUUUGCUACGGUCAGCCUGUAGUGACCCCUUAGAUUUUGUAUGGAAAAAGUUACCUUCUUUGAUCUUCGGUGAUUUUUGCUCCCCUCGAUUUCUCUUUUGUUCUAUGACAUUCUUUCUAGUUUGAAAACUGAGAAAACGAAUAACCACACAUAAAAAGUGAUAAAAACAAGGAUUAAGAUGACUAAAAAUCAAAUGAAAAAUUACUAAGAAAACAAUGCAAAAACCACUUAUCAAACUCCCUCAUCCUUAAAUUGUUGCUUGUCCUCAAGCAUAUUGGCUUUGCAUAGGCAAAAUUCUGACAACAUAAAUCAACGAAUAAAAGGUCAUAAAGGUGUUAUCACCCAUACUCAUAUGUGAAUCCUAGUUUGAAUCGAUCAAACGUUAAUUCUCUUGGUACUCAAUUUAACACCAAAGGCUUUGUAAGAACACAAACUAUAAGAAUGCAUAAUAAAGUCUCCCUCCUUAAAUACCAAUUCAACUAUGCAUUGGCCUUAAGUCUCUACAUACAAUUUUCUUUGUGUCGCGUGACUUUAAUGAAAUUCUGCAAGGUCUCUUCCAACUAUGACAUCUUCCGUUGAAACAAAGCUUGUUGGCUUUGUUGCAUCCCUUAGCUAGCAUUGUAACUCUGGUUAUGGCUCCAAUGGAAUUUUGGGUGAUUUUUCCAACCCAGAUUGUAUAUGUUGGAAUACAGGUUGUUCUUUUGAAAAUUAGCAAAUUAGACCUCCUCACUUGUCUCUUCCAACGAACACCUUCCAUUCGCAUGUUCGUCUCCACAUAAAUCACACCUAAGUGCUUGUACAUGGCUCACGUUAGCUCUACCUAAGUUGCCUUCAUCUAGCUUUUUAUUCAAUAAUUCAAUUUGAGCUAAAAGAGCAGUAUGGGUAUCAAAAGGUAACUUACCUUUAGGCGUGCCCACAGUUUCAAGCUUGACCGACCUUUCACUUUUCGAACAGUAUUCAUUCAUACACAUCUUCUAUAUAAGGUCUUUUACUUAUGGUUCAAUCAUUUGACGUAUAAUACUUUCUACGGAAGCAUCCAAUAACAUGCGAGUUUGACUCCUAAGACCUUUGAUGACGUUUUGCAUCUGCUCAAUAUUAUUCAUAUUGUGAUGCGGGCAUCUACGCAAUAAAAGUUUGAAUCUCUCCCAAGCGUCAUAAAGUGACUAAAUUUCCUAUUGCUCAAAAUUAAUAAUUUCUGCUCGACGCUCGAUAAACUGAGUAGUGGUAAAAAAUAUUUUCAAGGAAUUUAUCCUCCAAUUCCUUCCAAGUUAGGAUUAUUCCAUUCGGAAGGCAAAACAACCAAUAUUUUGCCCUUCCAAUCAGUGAGAACUCAAACAACCUCAAUUUAACUUGGCAUUCAGUGACAUCAGGUUAUUUUCACAUUGAAGUUGUUUCAUAGAAGCGUGCAAGAUGCGCCCAUGGGUCUGUAAUUGCAUUCUCGUCGAACAAAAUUUAUUGUAAACCUGAAGGUAAAGAAUUUUUAAUAUCAAAGUUAGCAAGGUCUAUCGGUACAAACCCCUUAAAAACAUGUCCUUCAUCAGUCCGUUUACAGUAGUCCCCUGUAGUAAGGGGUUGUGCAUCUGCCAUGACUUAUUCUUCAGAGUCAGAAGAACUUGAUAGUUACUCUUCUUAUGGUAUUCCUCCGUCCAGAGCUGCUUCUCUAACUGUUUUUUCUAAGAGUACGUGCGAUUCUUUCAAUUUCUGGAUCCAAUGGAAUUAAUGGUGAUCCUGAACUGUGCAUACAUAAACUAAAAAUACCUUAGUAGAACUAUGAUAAACAAGAAAUUAAAAUAAAAAUUAAAAUGACUAAAAAUAAAAACAAUUGCACAAACGUCGCCUUGUUAAAAAAUUAACAGUCCCCGACAACGAUGCCAAAAACUUAUUGACUUCUCGACAAGUAUACUGAUAAUGUCAAAGUAAUAAAAAAGGAUCGAAUCCACAAGGACCGCCUCCAAGUAAGAUAAAAUGUAUGCAAUUUAUAAAAACUACUAAAAAUGGGGGUUUCUAGUUUCAGCGUGAAAAGUAAAUAAACGAGUAAACAAUGUCACGAAAGCGAUCAGGUUGUGUUUUAGAAUCCUAUAUUCCUCUAUUGUUGAUGUUUGAUGCCCUGUAUGAAUGACUUAAUCACUAUAACCCCAUGACGAAUUAACAAAACAAUUAUAGUCAAUCCCUCAUGAAAUAACUCAAUAACCAUUACUCGAAGAUUUAUAUCCAUAGUCACUACGCCAAAUAAGGGAAAAGAGGGCGCUUAUUUUGGCCUAUAACAGUGCUUUUAAGCGCCCUCUAAAGUGGCGCUGACAUAGGUAAAGACAGCGCUUUGUUUUCCUGGAGAAAGCGCUGUCUAAAGUGGCCCUUUAAGGGCCAUAUUAUAGUGCGCUUUCAGAAAAAAACACCCUCUGGAGUGGUCCAUAAAGGGACACCUUAGAGGGCGCUUUCUGGAAAAAGCGCCCUCUAAAGUUGUCAAUGUAAAGUGUUUAGAGGGCGCUUUCUGGACAAAGCGCCCUCUAAAGUUGUCAAUGUAAGUGUUUAGAGGGCGCUCCUCAAAGCAGUCCUCUAAAGUGUUAAUUAUUUUAAAAAAAUUGUUUGAAAAGAGUGAUAUUAAUAUGUAACUCGUUCGCAUGCUGCAACAAGUGUAAAAUUCAUAUUGAUUCACUUUAAUCCAAUGUAUGACACCAUUAACCAUUUGAAUACAACAUGAAUCCAUUUAUAUACAAACAUUAAUUCCUCGCAUAUAUACAACAUUAAUAUAUGAUUCUUUUGAUACAAUAUACAACAACAUAUUCAAGAUUAGUAAAGUCAAAACAUAUCACUAAAUAUAUACAACAACAGCAAUACAACAACAACAUUCCAUAACAUAAUGAUACAACAAAUACAACCUGCGUAUGAUUCUUUGAUCACAACUGAAUUGACACAUUCAUCCUCUCAUUUCAUCCAAAUGAGCUGUCUUUGAGUAGAUUUAUUCCUCAAAGUAUACAAAUUCGGAGAAGGAAACGAUGAGUUCUGAUUUAGUGAACAAAUCUUAGCAUGUCAAAUAUCUGAUAAUAUUAAAAUAAAUCCCUAAGUUAUUUAUUCCCUACCUUUUGGAUGAUCUAAUACAUUACAACGCAGAUGAUAUCCUCAAUAAAUCAUCGAAUACAAAAAUCAUCGCAACGACCGAAUUCGUUUUGCUGAGACGGACACUACAACAGAAAAACAAACAGAUAUUAUAGUUAAUUCUUACAAACAUCUUAUAAGCACAACAAAACAAACCACUUUAUAAAAAAUGAGAAAUACUGUAAUAUUAUACCUGAAAUUCUGGAACCAGUGGUAACUGUCCUUCUAUAUACCGAAUGGUAGUAAGUAUUUUAAACAAUUAAAAGAGUAUAAUGCAUAAAUAACAUAUUUUCUACAUUAAAAAUAUUAUAUAUGUAUAUUCCAAUACAAUAAUUUUUCCAUCAGAAGAAACAAGGACAAUAAUUGAAAUAGGAUUGGUGAAAUAUUCUCGUAAUUUUUCAGUCUUAACAUCAACUAAAAGAAUAUUUAAAAAUUAUAUGAAUCAAAAUAAAUACAAACUAAGCCAAUUAAAAGAAAUAUUCAGAAAAUUCAUAACAAAGGAGGUCAUCUGUAUACGGUCCCAAUACAUUUUCUAACCUACGCUGAUGGUUGGUACGAAGACUCGUUCUUAGUUACGGGAUGAAAGCACGCUAUUCCAUGGUCAGAUGCAGUCAAUGCUCUGACCCUACCUGAUAUUCAAAACGGAAUGCCAUGAAGAUUAAAAUAUUUUAUAAAGGAUUCCCAAUAGGUAAUGAAUCUACGAGCACUCUCACAGAGUUCAAGAGAUCUGUCUUCUCUCUCCGGACUGACGUCAUCUGAACUGGUCACCAAGUUCAACGAUCACCAGAACAAGAACAAAGAAAGACAACAUAGAUUAACAGAAAAAAUCUCAGGAGCUGUGAACCUUUCGCAUUAACAAUAUUAUACAUUCCAAAUUUCUCCUAAGUAUAAUGAAUAAGACAAAACAAGUUUGUCCAUUGAUGAAAGAUAUACAAUACUGAUAAUUUGUUCAAAUGGAUAUACCUCUAUAUAGAAAGAAUCAUCUUUAACUCUUCCUAUAUUGGCAGUCAUCUCAGCAAAUCCUCACAUCAUCAAGAAGAGAAAUGAAAUGAAAAAAAUGAGAGAAUCGAACAAGAAAAGGUUUCUGAGAAUUCUCACUUCUAGUGAAUUCAUCGCCAGGCGCCAAAUGGAUCUAUAACAGGUGGAACAUAUUCAUCUUAACAGAAAGUUGGAUAUUUUCGUUAAUAAAAGUUGAAUGAAGUAUAGUACGGGAAAGCAAGCCAUCAUCAAGAAUUAGCCUGGACUAGCCUUCAAUUUUGUGGCUUUGUACGCCUUUGAAUCUUCUCAGUCCCCCUGUACAGAACAAAGAUUUGGGAUGCUAAAGAUAUUCUCCUUAGAUAUUUCUAAAUACUCUUAAAUAAGAACAUAUAACAUUAGAACAACUACUCAAUUCGAAGAUCCUGUUAAAUAAGAUGCUCUCAACUCAAUACAAUCCCGUAGAAGUGAUCGCGAUUGAAACCCCUCGGCCGAGUACCAUAUGUAUGUAUGAAUGACAGCGAUGCAUCAUUCUUCCUUGUUUUCAAAAAUUGUUGGAUGUCCGCCUUUUCUGCAAUUACUUCAGAGCCAUGAGCAUUCCGACACACCCCUUCAUCAAAAAUCGUACCAUAGUAAUGUGAUUCGGCGCCCUGCAUCAAUAUCGGCUCUUCCAUCCUUUUGCGAAGCCGCCGCCGAAAAUCUGAAUAAUUGAAAUUAUUUAUCGCCGCGACGUCGUUUGGAAUAUCCUUACCAGCUAUUUUUUCAACUUUCGACCGGAAGCCUAAAAACUCAUAUAAUAAAUCAUGACUUUUUUGAAUGCAACAGAAAUCGUUGGUUAUAAUUCAUGGGUUAUAUUGUACUCUUUUUAGAUGCACCGACCGAUGCCUCUUGAAUCCCUUUACAGCCUUUAGGUGUGGGUUUGUAGGAGUCUAAAUUACCAUGUAAUACAGGAUUGAUUAAAUAUAUAUUGUAGCUGAAUUGAAACUGUGAUACUAAUAUUCUGAAUCAUUUGAACAUAUUAUAUACUCGGACUGGGAAAGAUUAGAUCUGACGGCACUCCAACAAAGGCAUCCGAUCUGAUCUGACGCUCAUCAACGUUGUCGCAUGAAACACGUUAGGUAAGGGUAGCAAGCGCGUUCGACCAGGAGUACUAUAUACAAAGGUCAACCGAAACUUUCAUAUGCCCCGGAGAGAUAUAGGGAAGUAAUAUCACACCGAAGUGUGUACCACUGGUGUCCCUAAGCGAAUAUGCGAUAAGUUGAGGCAGUCGAUAGUACAAGCUGACAAAGUUAAUGCCUACCACAUAAUAAAUGUUAUGUUAACUGUAUAUUCGUCAAGUAAAAGUGCUAUGUUAAUUUGGAAGAAAAACUAAUAACAUUUAUUACCUCGUAAAUUUCCGGUUGACUAAUUGAUCUAGCUCGGUCAUUAGCUAUUUUUGCUCGCAACGACCUGCUUCCUCUCGCUAUACCUUGACUUUCUCUUUGCAGUUCGGAGAAAUUACUUUGCCUUAUACUCCAUCCCGAAGUCCCAUCACUCUUUUGUGGUUAGGAUUUUUUGCUUUUGUGUUUUUUUUAUAAAUGACGACGGGGUCACACCAAAACCUUACCCCUCAACACAUCCGGAAUACUCUAGGAACAUUUAGUACUCGAUCAAGUACGCUCCGUGCCCAUCGCUGGACCUCGUGAAGGUAAGGUUUGGAUAAAGUCUCCUGAAAAUACUUAAUUAGAGCGAGAUUAAAAAAUGAAUUAUAUGUCUAACAAAUUUCGAUACGCUUAAGUUAAAGGAUAUAAUGUUACAUAGUCUUACACAUUCGUCAUAAUAACAUUUUAGACCGCUUCAACAACGCCUUCCUUCAACCACCGAGCAGCCUUCCAAGAUAGUGCUCCGAAGAGAGUGUUGCCGUCACUUUUCUCCUCGGCUAGCUACACAAUUGAAUCAUUAUUGAGAUCAUCAAUUAAACAUAUUGUGACAUGUAUAGCUAUGAGCAUCCUUAAUAUACUACAGCAUUUUUUGUAAACGCUGCAUACUCCCGUACGGCCUUUUUUGUCGUACGGUACGGGGUUUUGAUUGCCUUUUUCCGGAUAUUCUUUGUCGCUUACGUUCGCUGGAUAAGAAAACGUUGAAGCUAUUAGAACCAGUAACUUACAAUUGUAUUAAUACCAUAAUUAAAUAGACAUUACAUGGAUUUUCGUUCUUGUCUUGGCAGACAAGUUAUCCCAUUCUUCGGCUGAAUAUCCCGCGUACUUCAUUGGCAGAAUUCUGCUAUCAACCAGGUUCUCCAUUCCCUAAUCCGUUGAAAAAUGUUCGCUUGGACCAAAAAAGGAUCGAUCUGCGAUUUUCUUCGGCCAAGUUGAAAUACAAUAUUUGCCCAGGUGCUUUCAUCGAGGAAGUGAAAGGAUUCCUUAAAAAAUACAAAUGGAGUGUGUUAUACUAUAAUAAUAUUAUAUCAAAUAUAUGGUUAAAUAAGUCAACAAAAAAAAGACUAUAAUAAUAUUAUGCGUAUAGUACCUCGUACUGCGUACCUAUUUUUUCUUUGCCAACUUCAUUCCGACUUACCUCCAUUAUCACAUGUAAUCGGAUAUGUUUGCUGCGAUUCCAAUUGUAACUUGCCANNNNNNNNNNNNNNNNNNNNNNNNNGUGACAAGGUGUAAUGCCCGUGAACCAAUUAGUAUGUUAGUUGUUAGUGUAGUACUGUGGCAAGUAAAAGUGCUAUGUUAAUGUUCAGAAAAACUAAUAAAUUUAAUUACCUCGGAAAUUUCCGGUUGACUAAUUGAUCUAGCUCGGUCAUUAGUAUCUUUUGGCUCGCGAAACCUGUUCCUCUCCUAUACCUGACUUCCUUUGCAGUUCGGAGAAUACUUGUGCCUUUUAUCCAUCCCGAAGGUCUCCAUCACUCUUUUGUGGUUAGAUUUUUUGUUUGUGUUUUUUUUUAAAAUGACGACGGAGUCACACCAAAACCUUACCCCUCACACGGACCGGAAUACUCAGGGAACAUUUAGUACUCGACUAAGUACGCUCCUGCAUCCUGGACCUCGGUUGAAGGUAAGGUUUGGGAUUAAAGUCUCCUGAAAUAUUAUUAGAGGAGAUUAAAAAUGAAUUAUUAUGUCUAACAAAAUGUUUCGAUAUAGUUAAAGGAAAUAUAUUGUUACAUAGUCUUACACAUUCGUCAUAACAUUUUAGAACCGCUUCAACAACGCCAUUCUUCGCCACCCAGCAGCCUUCCACAAUGUGCUCCGAGAGAGAUGUUGCCGUCACUUUUCUCCAUCGGGCUGAGCUACAAAUUGAAUCAUUAAUUAGAGAUCAUCAAUUAAACAUAUUGUGACAUGGUAUCAGCUCAUAGCAUUUAAUAUACUCACAUUGCUUUGUUGUAAACCGUGCAUAGUCCCGUACGGCCUUUUUUGUGUACGACGGGGUUAUUGAUGCCUUUCCGAGAUUUUUGUCGCUUGACGUUCCUGGAUAAGAAAAGUUGGAAUAUUAGAACCAAGUAACUUAACAAUUGUACUAAUACCAUAAUUAAAUAGCAUUACAUGGAUUUUUCGUUUCUUUCUUGGCGACAAGUUAUCCCAUUUUCGGCUGAAGUAUCUCCGCUACUGUCAUUGGCAGAAUUCUGCUAUCAACCAGAGUUCUCCAGUUCCCUAAUCCGUUGAAAAAUGUUCGCUGGACCAAAAAGGAUCGAUCUCGUCUUCUUCGGCCAAUUGAAUACAAUAUGUUUGCCGGCUUCAUCGGAAGUGAAAGGAUUCUUAAAAAAUACAAAUGGAGUGUGUUAUAUUAUAAUAAUAUUAUAUCAUAAUAUAUGGUUCAAAUAAGUCAACAAAAAAGAUAUAAUAAUAUUAUGCGUAGAGUACCUGUAUUCUGCGACAUUUUUUCUUUGCCAACUUCAUUCCGGACUUCCUCCAUUAUCACAUGUAAUCGAAUAUGUUUGUCGACAAGAUUCCAAUGUAACUUGCCACAUUUGAACCGUUUAUAGCUUUCAAUAGUUGGUCUUCGCAUUUCAAUGUACUUCGAAUUUUUCACCCUUGUCUCUUGCACGAAUGAAUUGAUUCAUAACAAGUAUCCUCGUUUGUAUUCUUUUUCAACAUUGUUACGUGAUCCAACAUCGCGUAUGGGGUAUCGUCUGGUUUAGCUUUGUAUAGUAGAAAUGAUUCAAUAAGACCCAAGUAAGCAAUGAACCAUAUUCGGCUGGAAGCUACACAAAAUAAACAUUUAACUUCUAUUUAUCUCAUUGUUACAACAAUCUAAACUUCUUUUUUUUCAUCAUUAUUUUGAAAUUACAAACUCACACCACUACUGCAUACAAAAGACCAGCAACUGUUUGGUGUUUGGAAACAUGAACAGAACUUGCAACCAUAAUCAGCAAACUUCCAGAGCACAAGCUCAAACCACUCCAGAAUGACAGUCGUUUUCAAUCAGAAAUAAAAAACCCUUCAAACAAGGUGCUCAGGCCCACCAUUCAGGCUCGUUUACCCUUAACAACAUUAAUCAACAUAAUGCACAAAAUGUUAAAUCGUUUAGAAAUUGCCCUAAUCAAACACCGAAGAAUGUGACGGUAACGAUAAGAAUGGGAUACCUUCAAGGGUGACGGUAACGAUGGAGAGAAAAGUGAAGCAGCGACGGUGGAGAACGUCAGAUAACUCGAGUGAAAGCGUGAACGACAGCAGCCAGAAACAAGGCACGCGACGACGACGACGGUGAGGAGGGAGAACGAACGGAGGACGUAGAAGUCAAUCGCAUGAGAGUAGUCGCAGUAGAGAGAUAUAACCCAGUUACAUAAACGAAAUCAGCAUAUAGAGAGGGGAAUAAAACGAAGACAUGAUAAAUAUGUUAUAAUUUAAUGUUUAUGUAAAGGGCGGACAACUGUAGAGGCGCUUGUUGUAAAAAGCGCCCUUAAAGGGGGCCUAAGAGGCGCUUCACUAAAAAGCGCUCUCUAAGGCUUUCCAAAAGCGCUUUUAACUGGAAAUGUACAUGGACUUAGAGAGCGCUUUUUUAAAGCGCCCUCUAAUAGGUACCUUAGAGGGCCGCUUUCAUUAAACGCGCCUCUAUUGCGUUCCAUCAUUUCCUCUAUUUUUUCGCUUCACUUUAGAGGGCGCUUUGUUACAAAAGCGCCCUCUAAAGUGCGUUGUCUAUUCCUCCUUAUUUUUCUCUUCACUUUAGAGUGCGCUUCUUUAAGAAAGCGCCCUCUAAGGUGCACUGUCUAUUCUAGUUUUUGGCAUAGUGAGUCCACUAGCGUAAGUAGGGUUAGGCGAUGUGUAGAACGUUAAUUCUCUAUGCCACUACUCGGGGUCUACUAUCCUUAUUCAACCAGCAUAAGUACAACAAUUGCCCUAGGUCCAACACAUAGACUAAUGGUCAAUAUUCCCUAUGUGCCCAAAAUCAUAUUAAAAUAUCAUCUCACAUAAAGAGCAUUAUGAGCAAGAAGCAAUUGAAUAAGAUUAUAGAUCAAUAGGUUCAUACAAUGGUCAAAUCAACAUAGAAUCCAACAAUAUAGAAAUAGGUUCAUCAUAACACAACCUAACCUAGAGGAAUUUAGCUACUCAUAGUGCAAUUAACAAUACCAUAAUUGAUAAAUAAAAAUAACAUGAGAAGUCCCUUGAAGUGAUGCCCUCCAAUGGCUUCAAAUGCUCUAAAAAUCUCCCUUGUGCCCUCAAAAUCGCGCUUCAAUCUCCAAAUUUUGUAACUCUUGUGAAAGUGCAAAAAAUCCCCUUUUAAAGGCGUUAUAAUGGACCAUAAUGCGUCAGAAAAAGCCCAGGAAAGUGACCAUUGCGUGCAUGAUACCUUGCAUUACGCGCGCGAUGCAACUUUAAAUGCCUUAUCGCAUGCGUGAUGGUGCACGAUGUUGUAUGUGAUUAUUCCAGUGGUUGCAUGCUUUUGCACCUUUUUCACUCACAUUUUCAUUAAAUCCACAAUUUGCACACUUAGCUAUUUUCCCCUCAUUCUUUGGUCAUUCUUCUUCAUAUUUUCUCGACUUUCACUUAUUUUACUCUAAUUCUUCAACUAAAUAUAUGCAAUGAUGAAUUGUCAUCAGGCUUGUUUUUGGGGUGUGGUUCAUGGUGAAUAUGAAGGUUUAUGGUGGUUAAGAAUGGUGGUUUUAGGUUUUAGGUUGAAUAAUGUUGGAGAAGACGAGUGAAGAGAGAGAAAGGUGAUUAGAAAAUGAGAAGAAAAACUUAUCAUUUGGGGCAUUUAAAGAAAAUAAUUUUAUGUGAUUGGGUGGGAUAAUGGUGAGUGGGGUCCAUUUUAAAUGGAUAAAUUUGAAAUGGGAAAAGUUGAGGGGUGUUAUGGGUCGUAGCACAUGUUAUGGGCUACCUGAAGUAGACCCCUGGUCUUUAUAUAGGUGAAUGCUUACAAGAUGUUUGGGUUGCACUACAAGAUGUAGCGCAUACUAUGGGUCACCCGUACUGGCCCUCUGGAAAAUGUAUGGUGAGACGCCUUAGUGGGGUUAUAGGAUGACCGUAGCCUACCUCUGGUUUUUACAUGGGAUUUGGUAUUUGUGUGGGGUUUUAUCAUGGUUUUAGUAUCUGAUAAAAGUUAAUAAGGACAUUUGAAUUUUAACAAGGGAGUGGGCAAUCUAUUAAUUAGAUGGAUGACAUGUUAGACACAAAAAUUCCAUGUGUUAAAUGGUAUAUUGGAGUGGAAAUAUAAGGUCCUAGCAACAUUGAGAAUAUGUUGGUGUUUUAUCUUAACCACCCUAGUUUGUUAGGGUGUUUCAAGAUAAUACCUUUGAUGUAUUUUACCUUUCGAAAAAAGGAACUCAGAUAAGGCAACAAAUUUUGUGUCAUUAUCUGUUCUGAGACAUUUCAAAGAUGUGUGAAACUGGUUUUCUAUAUAGGCUACAAAUUGAAUGAUGAUACUUUUGACUUGGUCCUUUGUUUUAAAGAAAACAACCCAAUUAUAUCUACUGUAGUAAAUAUUUGUGUCAUAGGAAAUAAAUGGUAGAGAAUGGACCCGAUAAAUCAAUAUGCAAUAUAUCAAAAGGUGCACAAGAUUGAGUAGUACUAUGAGGAAAGGGUAAUUUUCUUUGUUUACCAAAAUGGCAAGGAUCAUAAGGAAUAUUAUUAUUCUUACAAGGAAUGAAUGGAAACAACCUUGAAAUAGUUUUCAAGCCUAUAUCAGAAAUGUGUCCCAGUCUAAAAUGCCAGAGAUUACAUGAACCAUUAACAUUGGAACUGCAAACUAAAGAGUGAUGUGUAGAGUCAAGAACAUACAACCCUCUUUGCAACUUAGUUGUACCUCAUUUACUUAGAAUGGUUAUGCAGGAUUUGACAGGUAUCGGCAUUGAAAUGCACAUAACAAUUAUUGCUACUUACAAGUUUAGCAAUAGGAAUCAAAUUAAAAUGAAAAUUAGCCAUAUAAAGCACAUUGUGCAGAGUUAGAAAAGGUGAAACAACUAAACUACCAGACAUAGAUGCAACAAUAUGGGAACCAUCAGGUAAAUUGACAUGGACAAGUAUGAUGUUUUUGUAAGUAAUGAAAGAAGUUUUGUCAAAGGAAAUGUGAUAUGUUGCGCCUGUAUCUAAAAUCAAGAGAUGUGAAUUCUUACCAUUAGGGUUGGAUGAAUGUAAGUUCAUGACAAAGGGGGAGGUAGAAAAGGAAUUGGCUUUAGGGUUGAGUUUGGACUGUUGGAGCAACUAUAUGAUGUUGUUGUACUGCUCUUGAGUGAAUCCAAAUGAUGAUGCAACUGAACCUUGUUGAGAAGAGUCAGAGGUGAUGUUAACUACAAUAGUGGAUUGAGGAUUAUUGCCAACACUUUGAGAUUUACUUUUCCCUUUGAAUCCUGAUGGGAAGCCAUGCUUGAUAAAACAAGUUUUAGUAGUGUGAUUCAUUCUGCCACAAUGAGUGCAUACACGGUUAUAACCUCUAGCACCACUAAAGCCAUGUGUCUUCCCUUUAGAAUAACUAGGGUUUCCAUUGUAAUUCCCUGAAUUUGUCUGAACUUGGAAUGUAACAAUAUCUUCAUUGUUGAUAGCAGUUGGAGUCACAUCAAAUAUCAAAUUGUUCAUCUCUCGUUCUUGUUGAAUAAUAAGGGAAAAUGCUUUGUCAAUGUCUGGUAAUGGAUUUAUCAUCAUUAUUUGUGGCUUGGAGUGUGUAAAAUUUUCAUUCAAUCCCUUGAGAAAACAAAUCACACAAUCUUGUUCACAAUAUUUGUGAACAGAGGAAAAAUAACCAUAAGAACAAGGGAUUGCGCAAGAACAAGCAAGAACAAGAUUAUAGUUAUUCAGUUCAUCCUAUAAAACUUUUAGCUGAGUAAAGUAGUUAGAAACAUCGAGAGUACCUUGAUGAAGCUUGUAGAGAUUGUAACACCUCAAUUUUAUUUAAAUUAUUUCCCGUAAUUUAAUUAUGUGAUAGUUUUGGUUGUAUUGUGUUGAUUGGUGUUUUGAUGUAUUGUGUACCCUUUGUGUGAGGUAGUUGCCUUAGAAAUUAAGAUGUUGGGGAGUGUGUGAGCAAAAAUAUAGAAAGGAUGGUGUGAUGAGUAAAACUAAUUAAUCAUAUUAGUUAUUAUUUAAUUAAUUAAUUAAUAUUAUAUGAAUAUUAAUUUAAUUAUUUAAUUUGAGUGAAUUAUUAUUAUUAUUAUUAUUACUAUUACUAUUACUAUUAUUGUUAUUAUUAUUAAGAAAAUAGUGAUAAUAUAAUAAGUUAAUAAAAUAAUAGGAUUUAUAAUAAAAAUAUAGAAGGGGUAUUGGGAUAGAAACCCAGUACGUAACAUUUGGGGAGAAAAGAGGAAAAGUAGAGAAAGAGAGAGGAAUAGGCUAGAGUUUAAGGGGAGAUUCACCGUUGUUGAAGGUUAAAGAAGCUAUUACUAGGAACUCUAAGAUAAGGAUGAAGUUCUGAUUAUCUAAGGGUUAACAUGAUGGUGGUGGGUAGAUUAUGCCAUGUAGGUUUUGUGUUUUCUUCUCUAUGUUAAAUUGUGAGAAUGAUGAAUAUGUUGAUGUUAAACCCAUGAAAUUUGAUUGAAUUGUGAGAAUGAUGAAAAUGUUGCUUUUAAACCCAUGAAACUUUAUUGAAUCGUAUGAAUGAUGAAAAUGUUCUUGUUCAACCCAUGAAACUUGAUUGAAUUGUGGGAAUGAUGAAAAAGUUUAUGUUAAACCCAUGAAAUUUGAUUGAAUUGUGUGAAUGAUGAAAAUAUUGCUGUUAAACUCAUGAAAUUUGAUUAGAUUGUGUGAUGUAAAAGUUGUGUAAAUUGAUGCGGUUUCGAGUCAGAGUUGGAAUGAUGAAUUAUUGCAAUUGUUGCUGUUGGGAGGUUUGAGGUACAUAUGAAUUAAUAAGAAUGAAUGAUUUUUUAUACUACUCUGUAAUAUAAUAUAAAUUUUCUGUUUUAAUCAAUGAAUAAUGAUAGUAUAUCGACUUCUGAGAUCAGAGGUUUUUACGGAGUCGAAAUCGGAGGUCCGGAAGGCAUCAAACGACAAAAAAUAGCUUUUUGGGCUGUUUUCGAAGCCCGUAACUGGUUACCGAUUUGAGCAUAAUUGAUUACCACUGUUACGUAAAAAAAUUGAGAAAUUGAAAAUGACGUAACUUGAGCUCCGUAACUCCGCUUGAUGCACGGUUCGAAGUGUCGGAAAGCUGAGAGUGUGUACUAUCAUUUAAAUUUGGUUUCAAUACCUAAAAAAUGAAUAUUUUUCUGUGUGAUGAUGUUGGAAUAUAUUAUACUAUUUAUGUGGUUGUGUGACAUAACCUUAAAUGCAUUGUUGUUGCUUAUUAUGUUGUAUGUUGAUGUUGUUGAGUUGUAUAACAUGUGUUUGAUGCAUGAUGUCCAGUAUUGGCGGUGUAUAUUGACUAUGAAGGUGAGUCAUUGUGCAUGAUAUUGUUGUUGCAUGUAUAGUAUGUUGCAUGCAUUCAUGUUGUUGAAUAGACUGUCAGUUUUUGGUGAGUCUCAAAUCUUAUUGUAUGGAUUCAGCAGUAGCCGAUUUUGGAGGUGAUGGAAUCAGUGAGACGUUAUCGGAGGUGAUGGUAAGAAAUUGAUGACUUUGAUCCUAGGAGGUGGGGAAUCGAAAUGGUGAACUUGAGUGUUCACGUAUUGGUACCACAUGCAUUGAGUCAAGUUGUUGAGUCUCAUUGCAGUACAUUGAUUGCAUUUGUUAUUAUGUUGGAUGGUUAAUUAUGUUGUUAUUAUGUUGGAUGGUUGAUUAUGUUGGAUGAUUAUUAUGUUGCUAUUAUGUGUGAAUAGCCAUUGUGUGGAUUAUGUGGAUUUGUGUUGUGGAAUGGGUGAUGUACAUGUAAUAAUCUGAUGCCUACUUAUUAUCAUGAUUUCCUUUAUAUAAUUAUGAUAUCUCAUUGUUUAUGUUCGAAUGUCGUCUCUACGCGGAUAACAUGCAGAUAAUCUGCAGUAGGAGUUCAGAUGUGAGUGGAAGAUGAAGUCUUCCAUUUUAUUUUUGUGUUGGCGUCUGCUCUGAUGUGUAACACCGGGGGAUUGGAAUGAUGUGUCUUUCUUUAUAUUUUAAUAUUUCUUAUAUGACAUGUUAUACUGAUGUUGGUUAUGUUGAGUUAACUGUUUGUUAUUGUUGUUCCGCUGCGAUUUAAUAAAAGUUAACAUUCAGACAUGUGGUUAUUACUACUAUUUUUAUAAAUACAAAGUGUUAUAUGUCUUUAUAACUGAGCAGGUUGAUUGUAUGUUGUAGUGUAGCAUCUUAAAUUGCAUGCUGUUUUGUUUACUCUGAUAAAUGUUUAAAAUUUACUCGGGAAAAAUUUAAGGUGUUAUAGAGAUCCUCAUGAAUGUCUGAAAUGCGGAAUAAAUCGAUAUGAGAAAAUCGAAUAUGCAAAUUUUUCCAGACACCAACGACACUAUCAUUCCAUAGCACAAAUUUGGCAAUGGAUUCUGAGAUCGAACGAUGAAGCCAAGCAAGGACCAUGGUGUUACAUAGAAUCCAUGAGCAUAUAAUGGAUAUGGUACCAGAGGUUUGGUUAGGGUUCCAUUAAUGAACUUCUCUUUGUUCUUGGAAAUCAAAGCAAUGUGCGUCGAUUGACCAAGUGUGAUAAUUCUGAUCAACAAUCAAGCAAUGGAGAAACAAGAACAAGUUUUUGAUUUUCGUUUGGAUGUAAGUAGUAAGGAUUGGUGGAAUUCGUGGAAAAACCAGUGUAACUCUGGUAGACCAUUGAUGUAUGAGUCAAGAAAUUUUUUUUUUUUUUUUUUUUUUGAAAUAGAAGCUGAGUUCUACAAAGAAAAAAGUGACUGAGAAACAAUGGCUACCAGAGCUUUGAAAGCUCUGAUACCAUGUUAAUGGUGCAGUAAUCAUGUACAAGUUUCAUGAAGAUGAUGAAGAAAAUGAAGCAAGCUUUAAAAAAAAAGGAAUAGAUAACUUGUAAAGAGAUAAAUUUAUUAUUAAUUGAUUGGUUACACGUGGAAGUGGAAUACAAUAUCUAAUAUAUAGAUAAGUUAAUAAUUAUCAAACAAAUUAGUGUAACUAACGGUAUACGUGUAUAGAUAGGAUUGGCUAAAUAAUUCUCUCUCUGUUUCAUAAUGAGUGACCCAUUUGGAAUAAAAGAGUGUCAUAAAAUGAAUGACCAAUUUCAAUUUCCAAUACACAUUUUUUUAAUUUUACCCUCUAAUUAAUAUCACUUUCAUCAUUCUCAAUACUUGACAAUGACACUUUAGUAAAAAUAUUAUUCCUUCUUUCAUUUAUUCUUUUUUAUUCUUUUUUUAAUCGAUGUGAAAUGAUCAACUGAAUCACUCAUUGUAAAACGGAGAAAGUAAUAGUAUACUAAGACUCCAUUAUACUCGGUGAGCAUACAUAAAAAUGUGUUCCUUUAUUUCGACUAAUACUAUAACAAGAUGUCUGAAUUGCUAAGACAAUAUUAAACGGAGAAUAAUAUUUUCAUAUCUUUUCAUAUAAGAAUAAGAAUAUUCAUGUUAUUUAUUAAAUAUAUUUCCUUUUAUCAUUUUCUUUAAAAUUUUUUAUCCAAAUAACUCAUUUUUUCAAAUAAAUAUUCAAACUAACCUACUUUUUCAUUUAUUUUUCAAAAUAAUCCCUUUUUAAAUAAAAAGUAUUUUGACAUAAAAGAGAUGUCAACCCAAUUAACGCGUAUGUGUACAACAAAUAUAAGGAGACGUCAAUCCAAUUGACGAUAUUGUACAAACAUAUAGAAGAGAAAAUAUAUUUUUUCUCAUACAUAUUUAUACACGGUCGUAAAUUGAAUUGUUACAUACUCUUAUGUGUUUUUACACAUACGUCAAUUAAAUUUACGUCUCCUUAAAAAUGAAUUACUUUAAAAAAAAUAAAAUAAGUGUGAAGGUAAGUUAUUAUGAAUACUUAUUUGAAAAAAAAAAUUGUGAUAAAAAUUUCACUUUCUUUUCUAAACAACAUCAAAAUAAUAGCCGCACAACACGUGUAACAACCACAAUCUUCACCCUCCUCUCUCGUUCAUUCAUUCUUCCAAAAUCGUGGAACGCAGAAACAAAGGAAACUCCGAUUUUUAUUCUCCACAUUCCUUACACUGAACAACUUUACACCUGUUACUUCUUUUCCCUUUUGCAAUGCACUUCUCAAACAGAAAUUUCAAUUCCUCAUUCUAAUUCAUCAUCAUCAUCAUUGUAAUUUGUAUCAUCUUCGGAAUGGCGAGGAAAACCUAUUCCUCAUCCACAUUGCGUUAUGUUCAACCUCGUUAUUACCUAAAAAGACCUAAACGAUUUGCACUCAUCAUUCUCCUUUUCGUCUCUCUUGCAUGGUUUGUUUAUGAUCGCCAAUUGCUCAACAGAGAACACCAGGUAUCGCUAUUCAUCAAAUUCAUUUUUCAUUGAAUCCGAAAAUUAUCAUUUUUAAGCUGAUCAUGUAUUUUUGCUUCAGGAGGAUAUUUUGAGAUUAAAACACGAGGUUACACGCUUGCAAAAAACAGUAAGAUCCGAAAAUUACCAAAACUUAUUCAAUUUGACACUUUUUUGGUGGCUUGAUUUGAGUUAUAUUUGAAAUGGCAGCUGGAAGAUAUACAGGGUAAUAUGAAUGACUCAGGAGGAGAAAGUGUUCAAAAUGAUGAAAGUAUACAAAAGGAUGAAAGUAUCAAUAAAUCCAACAAGGAUGUUUUGGUUGAGGAUGAUGAUGAUCCUAUUAGUUUACAACGAAGAGAGAAAGUUAAAGAAGCUAUGCUUCAUGCAUGGUCAUCUUAUGAAAAGUAUGCAUGGGGCAAGGAUGAACUUAAGGUUUUCCACUACUUUAUAUUUUUGUUUAUCUAAUGUCUUAAGAGUCCCAUAUCGACAAUAUAUAUUAUAAGUUUGGCUCAACCACAUUUCCUUAACAUAAUGAUUAUGGUAUUUAAGAUCAUUCCAUUAUACAUAUCAUACAAGUUAGGAAAUGUUAAUGAUAUUUGUUAAAUCAGUUAUGAGUCAUAUGGCUAAUAUUGCUCUGUAAAUAGAUAUUACUUAAUGGAGUAUAUGAGUGAACACUAACUUUCUUACUAGCUGAGUUCAGUCAUGAUUCUUAUUUAGAUGAGUGCUGCAGCAUAGAGCAUAUGUUGUUUGUUUUUAAAUCUAGGACUUUCUUUUAAGCAAUAAUCCAUAGUAGGAAAUGGUGUUUCCACUUGUAUAUAUUUUGCUAUGUUCUUCUACAUUCUGACUCUUAAAUUCCCUCCUUGAUAAAAUCUGAAUUUGGCAACUAAUUAGCUUGCUAUUCCUCUCACAGCCACAAUCGAUGAAUGGUGUUGAUAGUUUUGGCGGUCUAGGGGCAACUUUAGUAGAUUCUCUCGACACAUUAUUUAUAAUGGGCCUUGAUACCCAAUUCAAAAGAGCUAGAGAGUGAGUUCUUCUUCUAUAUAGUUCCAGUUUCUAUAUUUUAGUUUGGUUACAUUUAAAGCAUCUAAAAUAAUAAAUAUUUCAGGUGGAUUGCAAAAUCAUUGUAUUUCAACAAGAAUAUCGAAGUUAGUGUGUUCGAGACAACCAUAAGGUUGAAUUAGAAGGUUCAAUCUUAUAUUUAUUGAAGUUAUUUCUCAACUGCCUGAUAGUUGCUGUAACUUUGUCAAUUGGAACAUAUGUUGCUUAUGCUUUGUAGUCCAUUUUCACUCAUCUCUCAAUUAUUUUGGUUAUAUUCAAUAUUCAGGGUUUUGGGUGGGCUUCUUAGUGCUUACGAUCUCUCUGGCGAUGAAGUCUUCCUAGAAAAGGCUAGAGAUAUUGCAGACAAGCUGCUGCCUGCUUGGAAUACACCUUCAGGAAUCCCUUAUAACAGAAUUAACUUGGCCUAUGGAAAUACAAAUAACCCUAGGUGGACCCGGGUAUGUUUGGACCUUACGAUGUACUGUUACUUUCCUAUAACUGGUUAUACAUAUUAGAACACUGUUUAAUAUCAGAAACCGUCUUUCCUAUCCGUGUUCUAUUGUGAAGGACUUAAACAUGGUGACUUGGAUACCCUUUAAUCUUUGUUUGAUGUUGUCCACCACUAAUAUUAAUUUCAUUGAUUGAUCAAUUGGUAAAAAUAUAAGAAGGCUGCUUUAUUUAUUGAUUACUUGGAGAUGUGCUGCAUAACAUGAUUUUUCUUCCAAAAACUUUUACAGUUUAUUUAUUUCCUUUAUUUGUACAAUUGUAUCUAGUUGAUUCUAGAAUAGGAGUUAUUUCCUUAUCCGGUGGUUGUUGGACAUUUCCCCCCUUAAUUCUAGAAUAGUAAUCAACAAGAUAUACAUGCUAUUAAGAAACACAACAUCCAUGGAAAUAAAGAGAAAAAUGACUAAACUUAGAUAUAAUUGAUUAAGAUUAAAUUGAUACAAACUGAGUAUUCUUAUAUGAGGUGAUUGCAUCCUAUAUAUAGGGAACCAAUUACCAACAAGCUACUCACUAAGUACCAAUUACUAAUAUCUCUAAUACCCUCUCGCAAGUUGGAAGGUGUUUACAACACUUUUGGUUUGGGAUGAGCCAAAAAAAGGUACAUCAAAUCAAAAGACGACAAAAAAAACAUACAAUGAGACAUGCCGGAAAUACAUUGGCUAAAAUCAAAGACAUAAGGCAAAAACUUAACCAUAAAGCAAAAGCUACAAUUCAAAGGCUUAACCACUUGGAGGAAACAACAAUAAAAAACUUAACCAUCAAGAAGAAGUUACAACUCAAGGCUUCACCUUGGAAGAAGCUACAACACACUUAACCACCAUUAGACAUAAGCCAACUAUUCGAGUUUGACCUAACUUAUCCUUAUAAAACCGGCUUGUAGGGUGAGGUUUGCCCUCACAUAUAAAUACAUGUUCAUGUCAUAUAUUGUCCAAUGUGAGACUCUUAACAUCCCCCCUCACGCCUAGGACUGGACAUCUGGAGCAUGGAAAUAAAAUGGUGGGUGAUUCAAUAUAGCGGAAACCCGAUAGCAAGUGGCCCACCGGUUCUUAAACCCGAGUCUGAUUCCAUAUUAGAGUUUGACCUAACUCAUCCUUACAAAAUCGGUUUGUAGGGUGAUGUUUGCCCUCAUUUAUAAACACAUGUUUAUGCUAUAUAUUGUCCGAUGUGGGACUCUUAACACCAACAAUAAAAUCAAUUAAGGCACCAAGUUUAACCAUAAAGAAGACUGAACUACUCAAGACAUAAGCAAGAUAUACCAAUGUUUAACCAUUCAUGUCAGAAUCAUCAUACUCAAUCAACACGAACAGAAGCUAAAAUCAUGCAUGCAAGUAAGGCUAACCAUCAACAAAAACAAAAAGAAACAAUCCAAAUCAUGUUGUGUACCGGAAGCUUCAUUAAAUACCACUGGAGAAUACUUGACCAUAUUAUGACCGCACAUUGUGAUAAGCAAUCAGAUACCGAAAACCGUCCAGCAAUGUGAAACUCCAUGCGUUAGUUGAUAAUACCCAAGUCCCCACUAUAGUAAUAAUAUAAACUUUUAACAUUCACUAUUUCUGUUGAGUUUGUAGCCUGUCUAUUUUAUAUGUUUUCUUGCACAAAUUUAUCUGAUUUUUAUUUAAUUCAAAAAAAUUAAUGAACCUUAUUUUCAACUAUUCCCAUUUUUUUUUGACAAUAACUAUUUGCAUCUGUUUAUUAUUCGAAAUGCGUUGCAGGAAUAGUGUAUAAGGAAACUAGGAAUAUUUUCUUAGUUGUUGUGUGUUUUAUAUUCUGAAUAAUUUGUUCUCCGAUACUAGGGGAACAGUAUUCUUGCAGAUUCUGGUUCAGAGCAGCUUGAAUUUAUUGCUCUCUCUCAAAGGACAAACGAUCCCAAGUACCAGGAAACGGUAAUCUUUUUCUGUUUCUUAUGGGUUUCCAGAAUAUUUAUAUACUUUUCGCUUUUCGCAAUCAUUAGUUUCAACAUUGUGAAUCUCUUCUUUUGAGGUGAACUGAGCCCACAUACUCUUGUUUUCAAAAUUUUCUCACCCCAAGUGUACUGAUUUUGAGAAUGUUGUGACUGUGAAAGAGUGUUGAAGUUUAUUCCUUAUGUCAAUUUUGAGGUAUUUGCCUUCUGAUGUUUCAGGCUGAGAAGGUCAUCAAAGAGCUUCGCAGAAGCUUUCCUGAGGAUGGGCUGCUUCCCAUAUAUCUUAAUCCACUAACUGGAACUAAAUCAGCUGGAGCAAUUACAUUUGGUGCUAUGGGUGAUAGGUGAUAAAUCUGAUAACAUCAUAUAUUACUCUCAUUUCACGACCUUAUCUUACAGUUGUUGGCCAAUUUGGUUGAGGUUGUUAGCUAUAUCUUCAAAGAAAACUUAGCUGCAACUUUAAGCUAUAUUUUGUUUAACUUAAUAACAAGCCUUAUGGAGUUUUUAAGAUAGAGAUGGGUUGUCGACCAUCUAUGAUGAAUGGAACAGUGUGAUUAUAAACUGAAUUUGAUAUAGAACUUCAUUAUUUAAGUCAGUUGCCCACAUUUGUACAUUAUGAUUACCAGGAGUAUGGAAUAAACUGGUGUUGUUUUGGUGUUUAGCGUUUGCAAAGGUUCACGGUCUUUAAUAGGUCGACGUGCACUUUAGUGAUGAUGAUUCUUCUGUGAACAGAGAUGUUUCCGUGCAUGCAUAUGAUAAAAGUUUCCAUGAAUGCAUAUUUUUCUUAGGAAAAAGAUGGCCAACUAAUGACAUAAUUGAUUAUUCAACUCAACUAAUUAUUGUCUUCUGUUGAAUGGUACUAACAGUGCAACAAUAUGUUGAAAGUAAAUGUAAACUAGCUUUGCUAGAUUCUAGUCACUUCAUUCUUCACAUAAUUAAUAGGAUGCGAUGACUGUGUUGCAGCUUCUACGAGUAUCUGCUCAAGGCAUGGAUACAAGGAAACAAGACUGAAACGGUACAGUUUUACAGGUAACAAACUUGAAAUGUCUGCUGUCCUUUGAAAAUUGCAUAUUUUGUUGUUUCUGCAUGGUAAAAAAGUUAUUGAUCCAGCUAUCCUGCCUCUUGCCAAUGCAUCUGACUCCGUCUCUCACUGAUGCACCAUUAACAUAUUUGUUUGCCAUAAGUUUAUGGAAGAAGCUAAAGUAUAUAGGGCCCACACCCAAAGUUUUGAAUUUACAACUAUUUUUAUAAUUAUCAGAAUUUAAUUCUUCUAUUUUUCGAGCUCUCCACUGUAUACUCUACAAAACACCCGAUGUUUGACUAAGAUUUCUUCACUGUCUGUUAUACUCAUUGCAUGUAUUAUCUGUUUAGUCUAAAUAUGUUACAAUCAUCUGGCCCACCUUUUUUUUGUCCUUUAUUCCGUUAUAGAAAUUUCAACUUAGAAAAUAAGCCUACAUUUGGAUCCCCAUAUAUUUAAAUGUGCGAGAAAAUGCCUAUCCAGGGAAAUGUGGGAGACAUCAAUGAAAGGUCUGCAAAGCUUGAUUAAGAAGUCAACACCAUCAUCUUUUGUGUAUAUAUCUGAAAAGCUUGGAAAUGCACUCUUGGACAAGGUGUUAUUUGGAAUGGACAUUUAUCUAAUUUAGAUUGACAUCUUCUGAAAAAAAUUGUUUGAUCUUUUUAUCACUUUUUCAGAUGGAUGAAUUAGCAUGUUUUGUUCCUGGAAUGCUGGCUUUGGGAUCUUCUGGCUAUGGCCCUGGAGAAGGCGGAAAAAUCAUGUCUCUCGCAGAGGAGGUAAUACUUAAGAAGUAUUUGUGAAAUUCGUCACUCAAUUUGUCUAAAAAGCUUCAACCAGUUCAAAUUGUUCAUGCCGUGGUGAUCUUUUUGUAACGGGAAAGAAAAGAAUAAAAUAUGCAUAUACAUAAAUAAGAAGCUUUUGGAAGAGAAAAUGCCUCAUGAAAGGUGCUGUAACUCCUGAGUUUUUCCUAGUGCCCUAGCAUUAUUGUUGAAGAAUUCCAAAUGAUCAAUUCUCUUAAAACACUUAAACUGUCCAGUGGAAUAGUUAUAAUUCUAAAACAACAAUUGCUGAAUUAAUUAAUCAUAAUAUCCAUUACUCUUAAUAUUUUAAUUUAUAGUCGAUUGCUGGCUUAUCCAGUAAGCUAGCUGAAACUUGCCUCAAGUUCUUGGCAUAUUUAAUGCUAGGAGUAGUUUUGUUUGGUGACAUGUAGUUCUGGAUAUUUUUAAUGCCAAGGUGCUUUUGCUACAUAUAUUUUAUUUUAGACUCUGUUACACUUUGUAUUUUUAUUAAGAUUGACAUAAUUUUUUCUCAAUAAUUGCUUGCUUGAAUUUAAUCCCCAUUUAUUUUUGCCUUUUGCCCUAGGAAUUGGAACCAUCAUUCGGAUUUCCAAACAGAAUAAAGAGAUAGAUUGCAUCGAAAAGCAAGACCCUAACUUCUCAAUCUGAAUAUACUACAAUGCAUCCAAAGUCUAGAUAUAAUUGAACAUUUAUUAGUUAAUUUUUUCUAAGAAAUUUUUAGUAACAAGUGUUAGUUUGUGCUAAAAAUUUAUUGAGUGCUAAUUUAUCCCACAUUACUCUUGCUUUUUACCAAGCAAUUGGAACCAUCAUUCGGAUUUCAAAACAAAAUAAAAAAUAGAUUGCAUCCAGAAGCUAGACUGUAACUUUUUUUUCUGGCCAUACUGCAAAUCAUUUGAGGUUUUAGAUUUAAUUGAACAGUUGUUAGUUAGUUUUUACUAAGGAAGAAUAGUUUUUUGUGACAAGUGCUGAUUUGUGCCAGAAAUUUGUUGGUUUCGAUUGCCAUUUUUCUUUGAAACCUCUACUGAAUUCUGUUGCAUCUAAUUGUGCAGCUUGCAUGGACCUGCUACAAUUUUUACGAGUCUACGCCAACUAAAUUAGCUGGGGAGAACUAUUUCUUUCGCAGUGGAGAGGUUUGGAUCUUUCGUUCUCACAUUGUUCUUCAAAUCCCCUUAGAUGUUAUGUGCUAAGCUAAAGAUAAUUGUAGGAUAUGAAUGUUGGCACCUCAUGGAAUAUCCAAAGACCUGAAACAAUUGAGUCGCUGUUCUACCUCUGGCGUUUCACUAGAAACAAGACAUACCAAGAAUGGGGUUGGAAUAUUUUCCAAGCAUUUGAAAACAACUCUCGCACUGAGGCAGGGUACGUUGGACUCAAAGAUGUAAGAAAUUCUUAAAGCCCUUCACUUUUUCUCCAAAAUGUUUUUCUUUCUUAUUCAUGUUUUGUUGCAAGCUUGUUUGGCAUGCAUAACCGGGUUGCCAAAAUGUGCUAAUUAUCUCCGAGAGGAAAAUCAUGCAGAAAUUGGUUGCAUGAGAUGAUAAAGUGAUGUAUGUUCUAUUCAGAACAGACUUGGUUCACAGAUUCUUUUUUCUUUCUUUACGAGGAAGAUUUUCAUAUAUGCUUUAUAAAAGAUUAUGGUUUUCCUUUUCUAAUUUGUGAACCAAGGAACAUCACUAACCCUUGGUUGAAUACCCAGGUGAAUACAGGUGACAAAGAUAAUAUGAUGCAGAGCUUCUUCCUUGCAGAAACCCUCAAGUAUCUCUAUCUUUUGUUUUCACCACCUUCAGUUAUCUCUCUUGAUGAAUGGGUGUUCAACACCGAGGCACACCCUUUAAGAAUUGUGACAAGAAAUGAUCAUCAAGAAAAACCGAAUAUGAACCAAGAAGAAAGAAUUCCUCAUCACUUGCAUGGUAGGAAAGAAGGUCGAGUUGAUUACAAGUAGUUACGGGUUGUUGCUCUAUGAUUGUAAUAAGUAAACCCCGAAGGUAUGCGUGACUUCCUUACUCUCAAAUAUCUAGGACUUAUUGGUGCUGCUUGACAGCAGUUGCCACGGUCUUGCAUUAGGGUGACCCACCAUUUUUUAUUGAUGCUUGCAGAGGGGCAACUUAUCCUGCUCUAUCAACACACAGUUGGUUUGUCUGUCACCUCCAAUCCGAAGUUUUGCUGUAAAGAAUGUCUAGAAGAUUCUUUCCUUGCUGUAGUAGUAGGAAUACUAGGAUAAAUGUAGGUGUAAAUGCCUAUGUAGAUACUGAAACCUCUCUACUUAUUAUUUUGAUUAUUUUUGGCAUAUGUAAAUUCUUGUAUAUCAAUGACUGACCACUGAUAGGAACGUGGCACAGCAUGAGAUAUCAGUUUUGGAACUUUUUGAUUCUCUGGUUCUUCCAGUUCAAAGAUCAGGCGAGCUUGAGUUUCUGUAUUAGAACCUCCUGAUAUCAAUGUUCUAGAAAUGUAACUUAAGAUUGUUGAGUAGCACUGCGUAUGAAAAUGAUAAUUCUUGCUAGUUCAGUUGAUUCUUUGACCAUGCUGCCUGCAAAUAUGGUUCCUGAGGCUUGUUCUUGAUGUGGUUCAACUGAGUCUCGUGACAGUUUACGAGUGGUUUAUUGGUCUAUUGCUAUCUAAAUAUAAAUUAUAUAACCAUCAGGUCGAGUGAGCUUAAAAAUGAUAUGAAUAAUAAACAGAAAUGAAAUCCAGAAAUGAUGUUUUGAAAUUUCUCUUCAUUUAAUAUUUUAAUUAAACAAUAACGGCAAAACAUAAUAAGUUAAUUAUGAUUUUUUUUAAAACUAAAAUAUUUAGUAGAAAAAUAUAUUUAGGGUCAAUUUUUUUACUUUGAUUGUUACCCUUUUGCUUGGUCAGAAUUAGGCUGAAUAUGAGUUGGUGUGCAUAUAAGAUUUUCAUGAAGAUUGGCUCAAUAUGUGCUUGAGCCUAUCCAAUUGCAAGUGGUGAGUCUUAGCGCUUGUUUGGAUUGACGGUGAGUUUGGCGGAAGCACGUCGUAUGUUAUUAAAGGAAUUUUCUUUAAACUCAUGGCUGUUAUUUUUCAAAAUGUAACAUUGAUUACGAUUGUUCUAUGCUCAAUGAUUUAUAGUUGUAGAUUUUGGAAUUGGAUAUUGGGAUAAACUGAUUGUUUUGUUGAAAGUCUUAAUUAUCUGUUCUGAAAAUGCUGUAUUUGAUGUUCACUGACUGAAUCAGAAGUGAAGAAUGGCACAAUAGUUGAAUAGUUUUCUGUAAAUUAUCCAAAUGAAACAACUUUCAAUUUAUUCACAAAACUUCCUUGUUUAUGGAGAUUGAUUCAGCUUAUCAUAUCUUAACUAUGCUGUUUUGCAUGUUCCAUUCACUUGUUAGAUGUCAUGUCGUAGUGUUUUUUCAAGAAUUCGGUCCCAGCGAAUAUUGAAAAUUAUAUCCUCAAAUUUAUCUUUUCUAUAGGUAUGUACUAUUCCUCUGGAUACGGCCAAAGUUAGACUUCAAAACAAUUCUUAAACCUGUAGCAAUUUUUCAUUAUCAAGAGGUGCUGUAGCAAUUUCAGUAGCAAUUUCAAGCAGAAGGAAAAUUGCCUCCUAGCUUCUGGUGUGCCAAGGUGCUACGCUGGAUCAUUGAAUGGUUAUUCAUCAAAUGUGAAACAGGUCUUUUCCUUUAACGUUAUAUGAUUUGUGAAAGAUAAAGAUGAUUUUAGUCCUUCUUUAUGUUCCAAACUCAUAAUUAGUCUUGUUUAAUUUUUAUCAAACAAACAGGAGGGAGUCAGAGCACUUUGGGCUGGCAUUGGCCCCAACUUCGCAAGAAAUGCUAUCAUUAAUGCUGCUGAGCUAGCCAUCUAUGAUCAAGUGAAAGAGGUAAUGUAAAAGAUACUAAACUGCAUUUUCGAGUAAAAUUUGUUAUUAUACAUCUUUUGUAAUUUUAAUCUUUUUUUUCCUCUACUGCAGACCUUUUGAAAAUUCCAGGAUUCACUGAUAAAACUGCUCAAUUUCGUUUCUAUGUUGCAUAGUAUGUUUUUUCUUCUUCUUUGCAUGACUCUUUAAUAGAAGAAAGGUUAAAACCGAGACCAAUGAUUUGCUUUCGUUUUCACAUAGAUUGUAUCUGUAUUUUGUGUGAUUUUAUCAACGGCAUCGAUUGAUAUUUGUAAAUAUUUAUGUAUAGAAUAAUCUCACAUCGACUAUAUCAUGUAAUUAGUUGUAAUUUCUCUUUAUAUGAUAAAGUCUCUGUAAUGCUUUUAAAAAAACACACGGUUUAUUCAAAUGCCUCUUAGUCUCUUGCACUUCAACAUGGUAUCCAUGUGAAGAACUAACCGGAAUAGCCAACUACAACAUAUGAGUUGGUGUUGUCAGGAUGUGGUUUCACGGUCAAGGGUUUGAAGAUCACCUAACCACAACAUUGGAUGUUGUUGCCGCCGAUAAACUCACUAAAUGGAAACAAAUUGAUGUAAAUGGAAACAAAUUGAUGCCUAUCUAUGCACUGUGUUAUGGUAUUCCAUAUAACCUAAUCUUCAAGCACAUUAUCAAUCCUUCACCACUUGCUAUAAGGUAUGAGAAAAAGCUAAGAAAGUCUUCUCCAACGAUGUUCAUUGUCUAUACAGUGUCAUCCUCAAACUCAACUAUCUGAAGUUUGAGAAUAUAGAUAUGCAAGCCAAUCUAAGUAAGUUGGACGCCUUGAAAACAAAUUACACAACCCUAAUGCCUUACGUAAAAGAUACAACAACUCAUGCCGAACAAUAAAGUAAGUUUUUCAUGAUCAUGACACUUAUCAAACUACCAUCAGAAUUCGAGUUCGUUCGUAACCAGAUUUUAUUCAGUACUACUAUUCCUAACUAUGACACAGUUAGUGAACAACUGUUGCGCUUGACUAUACCUCAUGCUUUUGGUCCGGUCUCUCAUCCAUCUAUUGUUGCCCCGACACCAGGUGACACAUAUGCCCUUGCGUCCCUUGGCAAUAAUCAAAAUCACUUUCAAGAAGGGCCAUCUAACUCCAAACCUCGUCCCAAGCGUGACCAUUGUAACCGACUUGGGCAUACUAUUGGCCGUUGCUGGAAGUUUCAUGGAAAACCUCCACGCCAGGUGAAUACAGCUCAAAUCGAUCAUUCAGACACUCUGCAGACCCCACCUUCUCUUCAGAGCUCUACACCAAGCUACAAUGGUUUUGUUAGGUGGUGUCAGACUAAUCAGAACACUAGCUCAACGUCUUCGGUUGGACACACUGAUAAUUCAUCUAUUUGCUUCUCUCAAUCAUCUCCUCUUGGCCCUUGAGUCCUUGAUUCUGGUUCAUCUGAUCAUGUUAUCGGUAAUAAAGGUUUUAUUGAAGAUAAUAGGUAAAAAUCUGUUAUGUUUUAUUCAUCAACCUCAGGCUGAUUUAUAUAGUGGAUAUACACAGUUAUUACACUUUAUUAUCUCCUUAAUGGAGAAUAAAGAAAAAUAAAACGAGUAUUAAAGAAAACAAUAAAAACGGAAAUAAGAUACUUUCCGACACCCCCCUCAAAUUGGUGCAUAAAUAUCUAUCAUGUCCAACUUGUCUAUCAAAUGCUCAAAGGUAGGUCUUGCCAAACUUUUGGUUAGGAUACCCGUUUGCUGACUUGAAGUCACGAAAGAUAGACAUAUGAUUCCAGCAUCUAGCUUCUCCUUUAUGAAGUGUCGAUCAAUCUCAAUAUGUUUGGUUCUGUCAUAUUGAACUGGGUUAUGAGCUAUGGUAAUAACAACUUUACUGUCUGAUUACAAUUUUAAUGGAAGCUCAAUUUUCAUCUUAAGUUCUUCUAGGACUCUAAGGUUCCAUAAUCCUCCACAAAUACCUUGAGACAUAACUCUAAAACCGACUUCAGGGGGAUAUUUCCUUUUUAUUUUUAUUUUUUAUUUUUAAUACUUUCAGCCCAUUUUUAGUGUUUUCUAUCCACACCCCACUUUUGUUUUUGUUUUUUCUGCAUUAAUAAUGAAACCAAUUUGUCCUGAACAUGUUUUAAUGUUAUUUUGUUUAAACCUAACACUAUUUUCUUUUAGACAUACAUUCUCAUGCAUAAUAACACUUACUAUUUUAAUUUUUUAAAGAUAGUUUCCUCACUAUUUUUAGGAUAUCUUUCUAGAAUAAUUUUUAGAUAAUAAUCUUAGAAAUAUCCUUUUCAUUUGUUUUAGUUCGAUAUGGUUGUAUUGCGUGCUAAUUUCUUUAGUAUAUUUUACACGCAUUUUUGGUUAUUUUUACUUUGUAUGGUUGCAUGAUUUAUUUCCUUGCAUUGUAUGGUGUAUGAUUGUAUGGAUUUAAUUCUUGUAUGAUUUAUGAUCCAUCCCCCAUUAUGGGUAAAAUAUCCCCUGAUCCCAUGAACGUGUAAUAGUUUAGCUUUAUCGCUUUCCUUUAUGCGCCAUUAACUUAACAUAACCAAAAAUAAAUAAAAAUAACCUCUUUCAAAAGACAAAAUAAACUUGAUCCAACGUCAAGUGUUUUCAAAAUCAAACUCAAUUGAACACCACGCGAAUGCUUGGUCAAACACCAAGUAUCUUUUUCACUUACUCUACACAAUUGACAAACAUUCUAAACACUUGAUCCAACGUCAAGUCAUUUUCAAAAUAUUUUUACAAUAAAUUGGAUGAAAAGGAUGAUGUGUAUGUAAUUGUACACACCAUUUCUCAAGUACUUGGAUUUUCGACUGUACCUAGCUUGUUGUCCAAUACAUGUCGUCCAUUCAAAACACUAUAAAUAAACGAGUUUAAUUUGGGCCUCUUAGGGAGAAAAUAGUGGUUAGAAUGCAACUGUCCUCUCAACUCCCAAGUAUUCUGGAUUGUCGGUCGUACUUAGCAUGUGGUUAAAUGCUUGUCUCCCUCUAAGUACCAACGAUUAAACUCGCCUCACAAACUUCAUAAAUAAAACUUUUGGGAUGAAAAAGAGAGGUCAGGAUGCACUUGUCCUUUCAUCUCCUGAGUACUUGGAUUUCCGGUCGUAAAGGUGGAUAGAUGAUCGCAUAAGCAUACUUUCUCAAAGAGAACUCUUCUAAAGUCUCUCCUUCCAAAGUGAGGCUCCCAUGGAGUAACUUUGGGUAGUAUCCAUUGAUUUUGAAAAUUUUAUCAGUGUCUUCGCUUUUUAUUUCAGGAUCAAAGAACAUUAUUCUAAAGGUAAAAGUGUCAAAUGGGCAAGUGAAAGCGGUCUUCUCUUUAUCCUCUAGUGCAAUAUAGAUCUUGUUUUUUAUAACAUCCAAAAUCAAAGGGUUAGGCUGCCUUUGGGGCUGCCUCACUACUUUUGCUCAAUCUUCAAGUAAUAUUUUAUGCAUACACAUGGACGAUCUAAUAUCAGGAAUGUCAGUCACGGUCCAUCAAAUUCCCUUCUUAUGUUUCUGCAAUAACGGUAACAACUUUUGUUCCUAUUCAGAUUCAAGCUUAGAUGAAAUUAUUACAAACAAAUUUUCAUUAAAUUCUAAAAAUACAAGGAGUGACUUUAUCUCUAAAGCAGGUGGUAGCUCAAUGGAUGAAUUUUUUUUGGCAGCAAGAGCUACAUUUACAUCUGCAACAUCAACUUUGUCAGUAGAAAUCUCAUAAGAAAUAUUAGAAGAAAUAUCACCAUAUAAAUCAGCUUCAAUUUCAGUACAAACUGAACAUAAGUGAGUAUCAGUACAAACAUCACAAAUAUAGAUGUCAUCAAAAUCAGAUAAAGAAGGAAAAUCAACAAAAAGUGAGUCAGAUGCAUCAAGUUCUCUUAAGAUUUUUUGCUCAGCCAUGUUAUAAUUAUCAAAUUAACACAUAAUUAAAUAAAAUCACUGUCACUAAUAAGAAUCAAAUCUGAAUCAAAUCAACACCGAAUCAAAUAAAAUCACUAUCAAAUAUGACUAAUAAAAUCUAAUGAAAAAACAAUUAAAAUAAAAUCUAAAAUUAUGACUAAAAAUCAUAUAAAAUAAAAUAAUGAAUAUACAAUUUGUUUUGAAAAUAUGAAAAUAGAAAAUAAACCAAAUAAAAUAGGAAAACAAAGAAUUUGCGAUCUUGAGGGUUAAAAUCACUUAAAAAUAUCUUUUAAGAGAAUACAGUUUGUUGUAUUAUUUCUGAAUUUAUGGAAAAAAUUAGGAGCAAUUCGAAAUAGUAGCUUACAGACUCACCUGAUAGGCUGAGAUACUUACCAUUAUAUUGCAAUCCUGAAAAUCAAUAAAAAACAAAAACAAAUAAACAAAAAAAUUUGCGAACAAUUCUCUAAA
rnacentral:lncRNA from 1 species